rnacentral:lncRNA from 1 species
AGACAGACAGAUGGAAGAGAAAGCAUGCAGCGGAGAGGAGGAGAAACAAAGCGUGUUGACUGAGGAAGUGUGCAUGCCAUGCGGGCCAUGUGCUCGUCUACGUCCCAGCUCGCCGACUCUCGCCGCUCUGAGACUCACUGCAGCUUCUCCUGCUCAAGUCUCCCACUUUUCACUCUAAGGUAGGACCGUCUUUACUUGUUCCUGUGUGUUUCAAAGAGUUUGUUUCGCCUCUUUUCUCGCCUUUUUCCACCUUUUUUUUUUUUUUCACCCCAUGCUGUGCUGCUUUUUUUUUUUGUUGGGUUUGAUGAUGCCAGAGUGAGAAAAAGUUUGAGCUUUGUUUUAAAUGCUGCAUGAUUUGAUUUUGCAAAAGCACAAAAUGUUGAAUUUCACAUGUUGAAUUCAUGCAAAAAAAAAAAAAAAAACUGUGGUGCAAUUUAGUCAAUGUUGGCAGGUCUGGCUGUUUGUUGCCAUGUGUGUGUUGGUGUGUGUGUGUGUGUGUGUGAGUGAGUGUUUGUGUGGUGGUCUGGUAUACUGGUAGAAUAUUGGCAGGACUGAGGAAUGUGUGAGAUCUCUUUGUUCCCUCUCUCUCUUUCCCUCUCUCUCUCUCAUUUUCUUCUUUUUUCUCUCUGGGGUUGCACACACACACACCACACACACACACACACACACACACACACACACACUCUCUUACACACACAUACACACACAUGCAGUCAAACCAACUCUUGCAGAAAACCAGUUGAAACUUCCCACCGGCAGGAGAGAAAUGUCUGGAAUGUGAUUAUCACGUAUUUGUGUUUAUUUUAUCACUGCGGGUCGCUCGCAAAGCAAAGAGGAAACCAGAUCAGGCGCGUGCACGUCACUUAGCGUGCAAUAAUGUGUGUGUAUGUGUGUGUUCAUGUGUGUGCGUGGUGCUGGUGGGUGGGUGGGUGGGUUGGGAGGGGACAGGGUAGGAGGGUAAAGAGUGAGAGCUAUUUGGCAGUGCACGUGAGUGUGUGGGUGGUUGUGUGGGUGUCAGGGUGAGUGGGUGCAGAGCUCUUUGAGUGAGAGCACAUGUGACUCUGAGUGUGUGUGGGUGUUGAAUGUGUGUCUGUGUGCGUGCACAGAAAGGUGAAAAGUAUGUGUGUGCAAAGGUAAGGUGAUUGUGUGUUUCCGAGUCUACCUUUGCAUCAAACGGAGGCAGAGGAAAGACAAAAAAAAAACUACUCCUCUUUCCAAAACCUUUUGCUGUCCCUCUUUCUUUCUUUCUCUUACAUGCACACACACACACAUGUACACACACAUGCACACACGCAAGGUUCAGGCGCCUGUCAAACCCAGUGCAUUCCUGAGAGCUCGAACACACGGAGUCUGAAUGGUGGGAUGAAUGCGGGGAAAUUCAGCUGAAACGUGAGGACAAAAGCCAGGGGGACAUUUAAGAGGGUUUAACUCGGCAGAACCCUGGGAAUCAGGGAGGAAACACACACACACUAAAACACACACGGAAACACACAUGCACGCUUGCAUUAGCGCAUGCCUGCACGUGCACUGAAAUGAACUGUGUAUACAUCUCGACACACACACACAUAUGUACAGCUGCGGCUCCAACAGGCUGUUAGAGCCGGGAACGGAGGGGAAUUCCCAGGGAGGAGACAGUGAAAACACACACUGCACCUCUGAAUGUACACACACACACACACAUACACAUGCACACACACACACACACAAAGGCCCAAGAAGCCAACACACUGCGCUGCAGGUAUCUCUGCAGUCCAUUAGUAAACCAUCGAGUUUCACGGCGAGCUGAAGAAUAAAAUCCUCAGAAAUGUGCAAAAAAAAAGUCAUGAAUUCUCUGAGACGUUUAAAGCUUUACAUGUCAACUUAAAAGCUUUUUAAAUCACAAAUACACACAUUUUUAAAACAACCUAAAACACUCUUUUAUCCACGUUAAAAAGAUUGCACAAAUCCCCUUUAAUGUGGAGCUUUACGAUGUUUUCAGUCAUCAUAUCAAAAAUCUUCCUUGCUGGUCUUUCAAUAAUGCACCACGUCAGGUUUUUAUUCAUUUAAUAUACCAUUCCUUAGAGUGAUGUCUCCUUUUUCUGUGUGCGGUUAUGAUUCAGCCGAGGUUUUAAAAGAAAAAAAAGCGGCAGGUGUUAAAAAGGUGUUCUGAUAAUGCCAAAUUUUGACAUUUCUCCAAAUCUUAAAAGCCUGAACCCGCCUGAGAGGAGCUCUUACGCCGCCGCACUGAAACUGACUGGUUUCCAAAAUGAAUUUGCACUUUAAGAACCAAAUUGAUGCAGAUUACCUGAGAGAGAUUUUCUACUUUUCCCUGUUGAAGAGAAAUUCAGUCCCUGUCCAGCUUUAAUAAACCACCUGGAAUUCCCUGAAGGACCUUUAAAGACUCCAGGAACUGCUUUGGGAACCUUUUUAAGUGCACACAGCAAAGAGGGGGGGGAAGUGCAUCUCAUUGUGUGCAGGAUUUUUCUUUUACAGUUGAAAAGCGUCAUUUUUGUUGCUCUAAUUUCGUAGAUUUGAUUGCUAUAAUCUUCUCGAUUUUCUGAAAAUAAAGGGACUUACUUGUGAAUUACUUAUUUAAAAAAACACCUUUUGGAUUUUGUUUUUCUCAUCUGCAUCUUUGCAGAAACAAAGGAAGUCUGAUUUUUUUCAAUGACAUGAAGGUGUAACAGCUGUUUCGCAAAUGCACCUGGACAGCUUGCGAAAGACCGCCUAGAAAUUUCUUAAGGACCCUAAAAGGUUCCAGGAACCUGCUUGGAGAUCCUUUUUUUAAUUGCACCGCCUGCAAGACAGAAACUGCGAAGAAAAAAAUCCAUUUAGAGCCGAGAAGAAGGAGUUUUCUUUCUCAAAAUUUACAGCUGAAGUUUGUGAAAUUGUUUUCAUUUUUGAGAGAGAAUAAAAAUUAAGUCGCCUCAUAGAUCACUCUCUGGAUUGGACAGUUUUAAGAUCGAUACAUCAUUUGUGGUUCACCAGGAAAGAAAGCAAGAUCUUUUUGUCAGUAAUUAGAAACCGAAUGAUGGAAUUCUGCACCUGCUCAGUUUGAUAAAGUCUCCAUGGAUAUUUCUGAAGGACUCUAAAAGGUUCCAGGAACCUGACUCGAGAUCGGUCGUGAUUGCACGACACCAGAAACCGAAAAUGUGCAUCGAAUUGUGUGAAGAUUUUGCAGCAAAGUUGCAUCUUUAAUUAAAGAAAUCAUCGACAUUUAUGGAAAAAUGACAAAAGAAUCAAACUGUUUGAUUUUUGCUGUUUUGUCACUGACGAUAAUUCCUAUUUGCGACUAGAAAGACAAGGAAAUCUUUCUGUUUUCAAUAAAAGCCACUUCAGUUGGUUCACCAAUAAUGAAAUUCAGCACCUGCUCAACCCUCAAGGACCCUAAAAGGUUCCUGGAACCUUUCUUUGGAUGCCUUUUCAUUGCACAGCAUGAAAAACCGAGAUUGAGCAUCAGAUUGUGUGAGGAGGUGAAGUCAGAAGCGUUAAUGAAGGGUUAGAAAAUAUGAGAUUGGUUGAGUAAAUGUUGCACCGUCAGUUUUCUAAAUCGUCCAGACCUAGAGGAGAAUUUAAAAGGAUUCGAUUUUGCUGUUUUUAAAGGAUUUGUUAUUAAAUCUGCGUCUUUAUCUCUGACUUUAAAGUGAAAGUUUGUGUCUCAGGUUUAGAUUCCAUCAGGUGUUUGUCUGAAAAUCUGGAUGUAAGUGGACAUUAGAGGUCAACCUUCCUCUCUGCCUCCUGCAUGCUCUAAGUGGGGGGUCAGGGGAUAUUUGUUCUGACCUGAAAUCAACUUCAGAACGAUAGAGCCGCAGAAUCAGAUGCCCCUCUGCUGAGAAACAAGAAGGGAAACACCUGGGAUUAUCCCCAAUCUGUGCAGCUUUUGCAUGUUUCAGAUUGAGCUGAUCUGCUGUCUGUGUGUGUCUGUGUGUGUGUGUGUGUGUGUGUGUGAUGGAAAAAGUGAUGAGUAAUACUCGGGGAUCUUGACGCUCAGUUCAUGUUCAGUUUGGCGCAUAAUUGAUUCAGCUUGAUCUGGUUUAUGGAGCUGAAAAUGAGACAAAAAGCAUGUGAGCGAUUUCCUGAUUUUACGCUCCAGUCACGAGAGUCGAUGAUGAUGAUUGGAGAGUCGAAUUAAAGGUCAGGUUGUGAUUUUCAAGAUGGUUCAGGUGAAUUUGAUGCAGUGAAAAGGUCACGAAUCAUGUGAGGUAAUUAAGGGUGGAGAAAAAAUGUGAUAAAACGCAGCUUUCAUGAGGAGAACCUGACGUUAUUUCGCCGAUAACCUGCGUCUGAAAGGGUUAAAUGAAUCUGGUCAUGAGAUUUACAGAAAGACAUUUGAUUGAAGAUAUUUCUGGGAAGUUUAGGUUGAAGAAAAAGUACCCAUCCCAAAUACCAGAAAGUGAGGUCAUAAGUGAGGCGAUAAGAGAAAGAGUGGGCACAGUAAUUUAUUCAGGGAAUUUCACAAUAUGAAGCAGCGAGCGAGCGGCUGAUAUUGUCAGCGAGCUGCAGAGAGCUCAUAAAGCUGCUCAGACCUGUGCCGCCGCCGCCGCCGCCCAGCCCGAGAAUCAAACAAGAAGAAGCCGAGAAAACAGAAGUUAAUUUCCCAGACUGCUGCAGAGAGUCACUCUGAGAAAAACUGAGAGUGAUGAGGUCUGCACGAGGAAGAGGAGGAGGAGGAGCAGGUGAGCAAGAACAAGAACCUCGAAUUUAUACUAAUGUAGAUGCAUGAGUUUGAGUUUCAGCAGGUACAAUCCCUCUGCAGGUGUAUUUCCCCACAGGGAGAUGAGAUAGAGAGGCAUCAGUCCAGAUAUGAUGAGAGAGCGUUUCACAUUCACUGUUCACUCACAACCGACUCAAAAUACAAGAAUAAAGAGAGAGUCUGAAGAAUUUAAGUUUCCACGCUGCUUCAGUUUGAUGUUUUCUUCAUCAGAUUGGUAAAAAUAGCUUUUCUUACAUUCAUGUUUUUGUUAAAAAAUAAAGCAAUAAGGGAGAAAAGGAUGUUUCUUUUUAAACGGUUUCAUAAAAAUGCACAAUUCUGGCAUUUCUGCAGCUUUUAAAAGCCUCAAAUCAUCUGCGAGAAGCUUUUUAAACCAGAGAGAGGUUCAGAAACGAGCAUUUAAAACACCAAAUGGAUUCAGGUGAUUUCAGAUCUGCAUGAGAAGGAAGGAAGGAAGGAAAUCUCUCUGUUCACUCACCUGUUGAGCCUCAAGUGAAUUUCAGCUUGAGAAGGACCUGCUUACAGAAAUGUGUUUGUAUCCUGUGAAAAAAAUGAAUAAAGAAAUGAUUAUUAAUAACCAUGAAGAGUGAAAGUUGUUCUGUAUAUGAAGCUGCUUCAGUUAUUAAAAUCAGAGGAUUAGAAGGUGGAAUAACGGAGAGGAAAAAUGAACAUUCGCCUGCCAUAAAAUGAUGUUUCUGAGGGGUGAAUUAUUCCCUUUAGCCUCUUCAAAUGUGACAGAAAAGAAUAAAGUCUUUAAUUAUCAAGAGCAAAAAUUAGAGGUAUAAAUGUAAAAGAAAAAUGCUGUAGUUAUCCAGCAAAUCCUGCAGCUCUAAAUCUUAAAAUCAUCAAAUUUUGAUCAAACACAGAAGAUUUGUUUCAGUCUAAAACUCUCAGUUUUUGCUUUUUCUGCAGGAUUUUUUAACUCUUAUCUAAAAGUUUUGUCUCUUUAAUUUGCAUGAAUGAAAUGUGCAUAAUUGGAGUGGACUCUGCUUCACUGAAUUAACGUGUUUCUGCUGUAAAAGCACAAAUUUAGACAGGAGUUUCGUUUUUUUUCUCCAUAAUAAUUAAAUUCGGGACUUUCUCUUUAAGUCGUGCUCUCUGCUUCAUCAUUUCCCUCUUUUAUUCCCCUCUGUCAUUCUUCACCUCUCUCGGAGUUGUCACAGUCUUUACUGCACUCAGACUCUCCGCGGGCGCACCGGGCGCACCGGGGACGGUCCCCGCAGCGUGGGGGGGCGACACGAGGAAGUAGAGAGGGAGGGGAGGGGGGGUUCUUUCUUGCGGGUAGACUGAGGCUGACUCUGGGGACGGAGCUGCGGCCGACUGCCGCAGGUUUUGGGGGAACCAGCUUCUCACUCUGAGGUCGCCGGGGCAUUUCCGAGCGAUCCGGGGUAAAACCCGGCUGACACACAGAGACAAAACAGAGAGAGAGAGAGAAAGAGAGAGAGAGUGAAAGAGAGAGAGAGAGCGAGAGAGAUCAGGGCACAAACAGCCUCAGAAACAUCGAUCCUCCUCCUCCUCUCUUCUGCAGAUAUCUGCGGCUGUCUGAGCUCGUUUCACGGACACUUUUACGCGCAGCUCUCGGUGAUGUUUGAUUUGGUCUUUUGUGUUUCUGUGCGCAGAGGACAAAACCAGGAGAGCUGACUGAGCCUGCACACGGGGGAAGGUGUCUGGAAAAAGGGAGCUGAUUUUCUCCUGCAACUUCUAAAUCCAAUGGCAGCGACACCGAAGAACACAGGUAACACAUUUAUAUUCUUAUCCGUGAUUUUAACACAGAUUUGAACAUUUUUAAGAGACACUUUUACGCCUUAAAAUCAUCCAAAAUUUCUGCUCCAAAUCAGAGAACUGUUGAUGCAUGUUUCUAUAUCAUAUUCCUAAAUUUGACUUUAUCACUGUCGGUGUGUUUGAGUUGUGUUGGCGUUGUUUGUGCGUUCCUGCAGCAGUGUGUGUGUGUGUGUGUGUGUGUGUGUGGUGAGACUGUUGAACAUGGCAUUGCAACAGUGUGUGGUCUCCUCCAGCUCUGGCAAGACUAUUGUGCACUCUUCACGUGCGCAUUUGUUCGUGCGCGUGCUUGCUUGUUGGUGUGUGUGAGAGAGAGAAAAGAGAGAGAGAGAGAGAGAAAAGAGAGGGAGGGAGGGGGGGAGAGGAGGAAUGUGAGUCGGGCUGGAGGAAAUUCUUGUGUUUUGGAAUGCGUUUACCCCGGGGGGAGACCCCGUGACUCCGGGAGAGAGAGAGAGAGAGAGAGAGAGAGAGAGAGAGAGAGAGAGAGAGAGAGAGAGAGAGAGACAGGGGUGUGAUUGCAUGGCUUUCUAAGAAAUAAUUGAAUCAUUGGUGUUAUGCUGUUUCAUGCAAGUCUCAUGCAAAUGCAGUGACAGUGAAUAUUUCAUGAUGAACAUUUUUGCAUAUUUUUAUGAUCAUUUCUCUCUCUCUGAGGAAGAGGACUAUAAUUAAAACCAUGCACGCUCACUUUCACACACACACACACACACACACACACACAGCGGCUCUGCAUCCAACAGGGGGAGCUUGUGACACAUGGAGCUGGAAAAUCAGUUAUUAAUGUGACACUAAUAUCAGCCUUCAAUUUCACAUGCGUUAACAAAGAGACAGUCAUUUCUUUUAGCAAAACACUCCGUGAAAAGUGGAUGAAAGGGCAGCUCAGACUUGCUUCCCCCUCGGUUCUUGGCAGAUUCUGCGUCUUUUAAAAUGGGACAUAGAUUUUAAAAAAUGUCAAAAAGUGCGUCUUAAAAAUAUGAAACAAAUGCACAUUUCAGAGGCAGACAUAGUCUAUGAUAAGAGCUGGAUUUAGCAGCUUUCUUUCUGCAGAACAUGCUGGACGUCUCCUACCUUGCAUUAAAGAAUACAUGCACGGUAGUAUUUUGGGAAAUUCAUCUAAAAUAUGUUAAAAUUUAUCUAUUUUAAAUCUCUUUUAGGCGAAGAUGUUUUGCACAUUUCAGAGGCAGACAUAGUCUAUGAUAAGAGCUGGAUUUAGCAGAAUGGUGAUUUCUUUCUGCAGAAUAUGCUGGACGUCUCUUACCUUGCGUUAAAGAAUACAUGCACAUGUUAGUAUUUGGAGAAAUUCAUGUAAAAAAUGUUAAAAUAUAUCUAUUUUUAAUCUCUUUUAGGUGUUAAAGGUGUUUUGCACAUUUCCAAAAUAUCACUCAAGCAAUAUUACCGCAAGGCGUCGACAAAAAGAGCAUUUUAAGUUCAUAUUAUUAACAAACAAACAAGAUUAAAUCAAGUUUCUGCCAACUUCCUCCAACAGGCAGAAACCCCGAGCAGAACCAGACUGAAAUCUCCCCCCCAAACUCGUACGAACUCGCUGGAUUCGGAUCAUUUAGCACGUAAAGAAGGAGACAUUUCUAAAAGCAUUAGAGGAAACUUCUCCCUGAAGUCUAAAUGAUGAAUUUUUGGAGAUGCUGUGAUGCUCAGCAGGAACUCGCCGCCUCGCUCUGAUGUGUCGCACAGUCAGAACAGAAAGCAUCCAUCACUCUGAAUGUGCUCUGCUAAAAUCAAGUGUUAUAUUGUGAAGUAUUCAGACAGUCACAUGGCUGUAAACACAUGCACACACACACACACACACACACACACACACACACACACACACACACACACACACACGCGCGACUGUUGCAGAUGAUGUAUUCGUUUUAAAAAGCCGACAGUGUUUAUCAUUCCCUGCUCUUAAAACUUGCACAGAAGUUGUUUUUUUUUUGGAUGUAAGCGUUCACCGGACAGACUGGGGUUAGAGUCCCGGUUGGUAUUGGACAGAGAAGAGUGUUUCUGGAACAGCGCUGCAGACUAAAAGCUCGCCCACACACAAAUGUGAGAUAUUCUAAUGAGCAAUCUGGACCAUCUGAAUAUUAUAUUCCUCUUCGCAGUACAGACGUGUUACUUUGUGCAACUCUUAUCAUUUCUGGUUUAUAAAAAAAAAAAAAAAAGUCUGUGUUUUAGUUUGAGAAAGGUGUGAGUGAUGAGGAGACGAUAUGAGUGACGUGAUCCUCUGCCACCUGUCUUUCACAGCCUCUUCAUCAUCAUCGGUUGAAAAGGAAGCAACAACCAGAGAGCUCCUGUCCUGUCCUGCUGGUAAGAAUAUCACACAUUAUCUCUGAUUUUAAGUGUUGCUGAAAAAGUGUGAAUUCAUGUAUCGAGUGGAAAAGUUAACCCUGGCAGCAGAAACUCGGCUCUUUUCUUCCACUCAGAGGGUUUUUCGUUAAUUUGAGAGAUUAGUUGGUGAGAGUUUGUGCAGGGGGAGAGAAUUUGACAAACUUUUCCUCCGUUCCUCGGUGUCACUACAGCAGAUCAAACCCUCCCUGUAGCUGUGAUUUAAAAAUAACCGAGCUCAGUACAGUAGCCAUGUGCACAUGAAACAUUUGACUUAAUGUAAACCCAAAAAAUAACAAUCAGGCUGCGUGAUUCACACACACAUCGAGCGUGUUCAGCCCACACACUCCCACGUGUUUCCCCUUCCUCUGCUGCCUCAGAUGUGAGGCACAUGACAUCAUUAAAGAGGUGCUCUAAAAUCAGUGUGGGUACUGCGUGUGCGUAGGCAGAGAGUGUGCGUGUGUGUGUGUGUGUUGUUUCUGUGUGGGUGCAGGAAUGAAAGCCAAAGCUCCAGAGCCGUGGGCCCGGUGCUGGCUGCCUGUGUGUGCCCAGCCGGAGGCUCUGGUCCUGGGCUGCGCUGCCUCCCACGCUGGGGUUCGGUCGGGGCUCUGAGUGGGAGGAGGAGUGGGAGGAGGAGUGGGCCGGGGCUGUGAGUCAGCCUGCUGCAAAGCCCCCAGACGGGAGACCGCUGAGGGAAGAAACACACCACCACACAAGAGUCUCCUCUCCCUGCCGGCCUUCGCAGAAACGUUAAAGUUUCUAAUGAGGAGGAUCAGACGGGGGGGACGGAAACACUCUGCAUCAGCUCAUCUCUGAAUGAGUUUUCUGCAGACACGUUUGUAAACACAAAAUAGACUUAAGGAGUUUUUUACUUCUUAGUUUGUUUUGUUUUGAGAUGAUCCAGGUUUAGUUUCUAUAAAUGUCAGAGCUGUUGCUAUAAGACAGUCAUUUUGCGUUCGGCAGCUCUGUGAUUCCUCAUGAUUACUCUUGCAUGUUUGACAUCCAAAUGUGCAACUACAGCAAAAACUGCUUUCUCCAUCUGUGCCUGUGUGCCCCUUAAAUGAAGGAGCUGUACAUCAGUUUACUCACGAAAUGGCAUAGAUAUAUUCUACAUUUGUGGAUGCACAUACAUGAACUUUGGGGAAUGACCGAAAGAACGAGAUCGUGGAUACAAGUGGCCGAAAUGGGUUUCCUCCUUGGAGAUAGGGUAAGGAGCUCAGACACUCGGGAGGCGCUCAGAGUAGAACCGUAGGAGUCAGCUGAGGUGGCUCGGGCAUCUGGUUAGGACGCCUUCUGGACGCCUCCCGUUAGAGGUGUUCCAGACAUGUCCCACCGGGUGGAGACCUCGUGGCCGGCCCAGGACCAGAUGGAGGGAUUAUAUCUCUCACCUGGCCUGGGAGCGCCUGGGAAUCCCCCCGGAGGAGCUGGUGGAAGGGGUUGGGGUGAGGGCUGUUUGGGCUUCCCUCCUGAAGCUGCUGCCGGGAGCUGAGAAUGACGUCACUAGUUACCUGAGUGACCAGUGUUUCAGUUACGGAGUCGGAAAAAAGCAAAAACUGAGGCAGAAACAAGAUGGCUACAUCUACGAAAGUUAUUUCAGCGCUUGCCUCGGAUAUUCGGAUAGGGCAAUCGCUAAAAUAACUUUCGUAGAUGUAGGUAUCUUGUUUCUCCGAUGGAUUUUCAUUUUUUCCAACUCGGUAAAUGAAACAAUGGUAACUCGGGUGUGACGUCAUUUUCAGCUCCGACAUCUGACCUCCGAGGUAACUUGAAUGCAGCGGACAUCAGCUACCCUGCUGAAACUGGGUUUUUGGGGUCAACUAAAGUCUUAUUUUAGUUUUCUUUCUUUUUCUUCUAUAAGAUGAGAUUACUAAGCGUAUACUCCACUUGCAUCUGCCCCAAACCAAUAGUGCUGUACCUGCUCGGUUCAGUGAAUACACUCCCAGUGAGUCUGAUCAUGAGAGGAAGAUUUCAACGUCUAUAACGUUUUUAGAAAAGUUGAAGACAGAUUUGUUUUUAAAGCUGUCAUGACAUUUCUGAUUUGUGCUGCUGGGUUUAAAAAUCAGAUGUUAAUUGAUGAGGGUCGUUAAAAUCCCAUUUCAGCAAAUUGUUAAACUCCAUCCUGAGAGGUGGAGGUCAGGUGGAGGGCCGCGGUGACCCGGUGAUCUCAGCAGCGUUUUGUCGCUCUGAUAAUGGAAGGUGGUUCUCCAGGAAACUCAGAGGGAGUCCACCAGUCUGGUACAAGGGGGGGUAGCUGGAGCCAGGCCGGGGCGUGGAGCAGAGCGGUGCAGCGGAGGAUAGGGUGGGUGGGUGGGAAAUGCAUUGGCGUGUGGAAGCGAGGAGGAGGUGGAAGAGUGGGAGGAGGAGGAGGAGGGACGGGCGUUAAAAGAGGCAGGCGAGGAGCGUGAGGGAAGGACGGGGAAGUGAGAACAGGAAACGCUGGUCGGAGUGGAAUGUUUCACAAGAAGGCUUCUCCGCCCUGCGAGCGUCAGGACGAGGGCGUCUGCUGCUCAGACAGCCACCAGCCAUCCUCACACACACACACACACGUACACACACACACACACAUUCUCCACAGUGUGACCCCUCACCGCUUUGGCAGGGUUAGCUUUUAUAUCCUGUGAGCAGAGGAGUCACUGCCUGGACUGAGCAGCUCUGUGUGACUGCAGGACAGAGAGAGAGAGAGAGAGAGAGAGAGAGAGAGAGAGAGAGAGAGAGAGAGAGAGAGAGGGGUGUACUGGAGCUGGUUUUCCUCUGACACCUCUGAAGGGAAGAGGAAGAGGAAAGGGGGAGGAUGAAGAGGAAAGGAGGAGCAGAGAGGAGAGGGACUCACAGGGCAGGGAUGAUGGGGUGGAGUGCUGCACCGCUGGGGUCCUUUAAAGGAGUCACUGCGUGUUUACUGGAAAUACAAAAGCAACAUUUGUAGCAUCACAGCCAGGUUAUAAAUUUUAAUGUGCGUUUGCUCGUUAAUAUGGAAGAUGCCGAAAAAAAGGCUGUUUUAGCAGUUCUGCUGGCGUGCAUCUCCACCUGUAGUUCUAAACAUUUCAAGUAGCUGUUCAAAAAGUACAGAUUUUUAUGUUAAUGGUUAGAUUUUCUGUUUUGAUUUUUGGACGGGAAUAUCCCAAUUGGUAACGGAAAAGUCUUUCCUUUGCAUUUAAUGGAAGGCCAUGUUCAAAUCAGAGCUGGAGUUUUAAUUUUAGUUAUGAUUUUAGCUCCUCACAAUCAUAAAAAACUGCUUAUCACGACUGUAUGAUAUUGUGCAGCCCACUUUGUCUUGCUCGUUUUGCCUUUUAUAGUGAAUCAGGUGCUUUUUGUCCUUAAAGGGAUAUUCCAGCGCAAAGUUAAUUUAGGGUCAAACACACUGUAACACCGAGUUACACAACCCCUCGAGAGAUGAAUGUUGUUGACCGCUUGCUUCUCUAGUUAUACCAACUUUAGUCAUGACCGCACGAUAGCAAUACACAGUGGUCUGAGUAGCCACACACAAACCUCAACCAAACGCCACUCUAUAACCAAAAAUAAUGCUCAGAACAGCACCUAACUUCAUCAACAGUACAUAUAGGGUCCCAGCCAUAGUACUAGCCACCAAACAGCUUUUUAACUUUGCCUAAUUUCUUUCAUAAAGAGACUAAACACAACUCACCUACUCUAUUCCAGCAGCCGCUUGUUUGUAGCAAGACCUCAGGUAAAUCCAUUACGGACUGUUGCGGGGGGAAGAACAUUUAUGAUCAUUUCUUCGUGGAAAUGUAAUCAGACCAAGACGCUGCAAAAUGAUUAAUAUGGUGAUUAUUGCGUCAAGGAAAUGAUAAAGAAAUGAUCAUAAAUGUUUUUCCUUGAGCUGUGUCACCCCGCUGUAGUCCGUAAUGGACUGGCCCGAGGUCUUGCUACAAACAAGCGGCUGCUGGAAGAGAGUAGGUGAGUUGUGUUUAGUCUCUUCGCUAAAGAAAUUAGGCAAAGUUAAAAAGAUGUUUGGUGACUAGUGCUGUGGCUGGGACCCUAUAUGUAAUGUUGAUGAAGUUAGGUGCUGUUCUGAGUAUUAUAUGCGGCUAUAAAGUGGCGUUUUGGUUGAAGUUUGUUUAUGGCUCCUCAGACCGCUGUGUAUUGCUAUCGUGCGGUCGUUACUAAAGUUGGUAUAACUAGAGAAGCAAGGGAUCGGCAACAUUCAUCUCUCUAACUGGGGCUGUCUAACUCUGUGUUACGGUGUGUUUGACCCUAAAUUAAUUUUACGCUGGAAUAUCCCUUUAAAAACAGAGUGUGUUCUCAGCCCUUCCCCUAAAACGGGUCUUACUUUCAGUCCAUCGUCAUGAGGUCAGAUCGAUGUGCAUCAAAGUUUGAACUCUCAAGGGAGUUGCAGACUUAAUAACAGACUGCUGUAUCUUCAGUGAGUUGUGCUGCAGCUGCAAGUGGACAGAGGAGAGCAGGAGUUGCUCAUGUGUGUAUGUGUAUGUCUGAAAAGUCAAAAACAGAAACAAAACAGAGAAAUGGUUCUGAAGAUAUAAACAUUCAAGUAAAGGCGAAGAAUGUGGCGCAUGUCCACAAAUCAAAUAUGUGAAGUCUGAAAUAUAAAGAUCAUGGCGACAUACACAAAUAGAGGCUGUAAUUUAUGUAAGAAAUGUUCUGAAUUUAUCUAAAAUGGGAGGUAUAACGUCACAUAUCUUGACCCCAUAGUUUAACCAUUGCAUCACGUUUAAAGUAUUUGUGUGUGAUGUAAUCAGAGACACUUGCAUAAGUGAUGGAAAAUUCAAACAGCACCUAAACGCAUCACUGCUCCAGCUGCUCUGGAUGUCUCAGCAGGCUCAGAGGUGCCGAGGUAUCCCUGAGAGUGUGUAUGUGGAUUUGUGUGUGUGUGUGUGUGUGUGGAUUUGUGUGUGCAUAUUACCCUGUGAUAACCCUUAGUCUCACACACACACACACACUCGUACUGACACGGUGGUUCACACGUUACUGCAGGGCAUUGGAGAGAGAUAAGACACAGAGUCAUGCCUCCCCAGCGUGACAGUGACAUCACAGUUGUAUCUGUGUGUUCACUACCCCAGCACACACACACAUACACACACACACACCUCCCCCUGUGUGCUAGAAAGAGACCAGCCUAAUAUAGUCAGCAUGGAUCACACACACACACUUAGACACACUUCCUCACAGGGCCAGAAGCAAAGGGGAUAAGGUGGGGGGAUCCGCCUGUCAUAUUUCCAUCUCCUGUCCUUGGUUGGUUAUAAGCAUGUGUUCCUCCAGAGCCGAGUGUGUGUGUGUGUGUGUGUGUGUGUGCGUAUGUGGGUGUGUGUGAAUGGGAUGACGUCGCUGUUACGUCUGUUGGUGUCCAUCACUGGCUCAGAGUCCAGUCUUGGCAGAGACAGGUGCAUCCAUGGCUGCCUGUGUGUGUAUGUGCGUGCGUACGGGUUGGUUUUUGUAGCCUAUUUGGGACAUGUCCAGUGUUGGACUUUGCUGGGACUAAUUGUCCUCUAGGGGACCCACUCUGUCCUGGAAAGGCUUUCUCUGAUGUUCUGGCCCUGCUUCCUGUUUAAAGAUAUUGUGUGUAUAAGUCGGUGUGUUGCUGUAUCAGAUGGUUUUUGUUAACUUAUCGUCUCAGAGCUCUGCUUGUGGGGAUCUCGAACCUGUUUUUGGUGCAUCACAGGGACCAUUUCUAAAACAAAAACCCUUCGUAUGGGGACCACUACUUUUUGUAGUGACACACUUGUUAUAAAUGCUGCAAAAAGUUGUUUCUGAUGUUUUUGUUUCACCACCUAGUUUGUGUGUGUAUGUGGAAUCAUUUUUGUUACGUCACAGGGACCUUUUCUCAUAUAAAAGCCUUAUUUAUGGGGACUACUUUGUCUUGUAAUCACACAUCUGUUACAAACACUGCUAAGUGUAAAUCUCAUUUUGUUUUGUGUGUGUGUUUAUGUUUAUUAGAUUGUUCCUGCUGCCUUAUGGGGACCUUGACAAAUAUCAAAACACUACUUGUGGGGACCACUAUUUCUUUAGGACACAAGUUGGCUGCAAUUGCCUCAGAAUGUUAAAUUUGACGUUCCCAUGUUGCCUUAUUUUCGUCGAGUGUGUGUGUGUGUGUGUGUGUGUGUGUGUGUGUGUGUGUGUGUGUGUGUGUGUGUGUUUCUUUUGGUUGUUUUUAUGAACUUAUAAGGACCACUUUUUUUUUUAGGGACAACUUGUUACAAAAGUCUUUGCUGAUAUCUCAAUUUUGCUUCAUUUUGUUAGCCCGCAUGCUAACUUUGUGAGUUUAAUGUAUAUGUUUGUGAGAGUGCUUUGCUUGCAUCAGGGAGGCUUUGUUCAACAUUAAAACUCCACUAAUAGGAACCGCUGAAGUUAAAUCUGGCAAGCAAUAUGUGAUCAAUGUCAUGUUGUGUAGCAGCCAUUGCUGUGUUAGGGACUCCCUGAUGUUAGACAGCUACUGAUGAAGAUACCUUGUUGAAAAGAUCUAAACACAUUUUUAGAGUUAUUCAAUUAGAUAGCUUUCAGAGAGAUUGAGAAAAGAAAAGGCCUGACCUGCCCUAUAUUUUUGCCCAAAUGCCAGGUAAAUGCAUUCUUAAUCUACCUUGCUAGUCUCAUGAACCUGUUAACAACUGUGUCUAUCAUCACAGACUAGUUGCACCAGCAAAUAUAUUUUUUAUGUUAUUUUUUAUUUAGCUUAUACAUUUUUAAAUCAUUCAGUUGCUACCACAACUGAGUAAUUUUAACAAAGCUAAGCUUGUCAACAAACUCGCCAGCUGGUAAAAUAACGCGAUACAAGAUUGUUUCAUCAAUUUUCUGGUGAUCAAAAAUAAAUUGAAAUCAACAGGUCACUUAGUAAUUGGCUUUUUUUGUUGUGCAAAGUUAACAAGGUUCUUUUAAUUGCUACCAACACUGUUGUCACAAAUAAAACUGUACAAAAAGUAAACACUAAUCACUCCUGAGCGCAAAGUACGUUCAAAACACUGAGAUUUUGAAGUAGGUGCCACUGCAGCAAAGCUUGUAACAUUGGUUUAUAGUGGUGAAUCUGUCACAUAUGCUUAAAAAAGUCAUUUGUUCAGGUCCUGCUUUUUGGUAUUUAAGUGUAGGAUGUGUUUUGUCUCAUAAAGACGCUUACAUCCAUGCAGAAACAUUGUAUAUGUACAGAAUUAUGGUCCUUACGGGGACCUGCCCACUACAAUCAGUAACAGUGAAAUUUACACAAACACCCCCGCUGGCUGUCCUUUACAUUCUUUCUCUUUCCUGUUUGAAUUCUUCGACUUUAUCUCUUCAGAUUCUUCUCCUCUCUCUCUCUCUCUCUCUCUCUCUCUCUCUCUCUCUCUCUCUGUCACUAGCAGCUCUGGUCAGCCAUUAAACUCCCUCUUAAGCCAAACCAGCAGAAUUCCCAGGCUGCUCGGCUGCCCGGGUUCACACCUUUUUGUCCACAGGAAUCUCAGGAAUCCCCAGCUUCCUUUUCCACCGCAAUCUCCAUUGUGUGUGUGUGUGUGUGUGUGUAAAGCUAUAAGAAGCAAAGGCCCCCGCCUGUGUUGUGUGUGUGUGUGUGUGUGUGUGUGUGUGUGUGUGUGUGUGUGUGUGUGUGUGUGUGUGUGUGUGUGUGUGAAAACACAUCUCCGCCCUUGUACCCACCCAGUUUGUGUCCACAAUAGUGUGAGUCACACUCAAAAACGACAAAAAACUCUCUGUUACUGUGAAACUUUACACUCUCAGACAAACUUGAGUGGACAUUUAGGGUCACAGUGAAAUUGAAGAACACAGAUUUUGUAAAUGAACUUUUGAGUCAGUAAAUACAAACAUAUACAUAUAUAUAUUUUACGUUGACACCAUGUUUUUCUUAUAACAGGCAAAAGUUUCGGGAGGUAACAUUAGCUUGUUAGUACAGGCAUUAAAAGCGUGGGAUACAUCUUAACAAAGAAAUCCAUUAGAGGGAUUUGAGUGAAUGAAAUGGGAUUAGUUUUAUAAAAAUACAAUAUAGAAAUAUUUUUAAAACUGUCAAUGACAAACGGAGUAAUGUGAUCCUGAAAAAUUGUGUUUGCGUGAAAAAAAAAUGACACUUGUAUUACAAAAAUAAGCAUAAAAUGAGGCGUUUAUAGAAUAUGAACAUAUCAAUUAAAAUGAUGAAAGCUUAAUUGUCACUUUUGAUGGAUUUUAACUUGCAGCAGAAAGUGUUAAGGUUCAAUUAAUGAGGAAUACAAAUACGUACAAACUCUGACAUUUUUGUUAUGACAAUAAAUAUUUGAGAGUCAGUUUUUGAAAGUCAUAGUUAUGCUACAUCCAGCUCACUAGCAGCUACUGCUUCUUCAUCAUCUUAACUAUGUCUAAUGAUGUGGCAACCAGCAUGAAGGAGAGAGAGACAAUAUCAUAGUAGAGUGAUAUGAUAUGAUAUAGAACAAAACCCAUGGUCUAAGAUGAUGAUAACACCAAUCACACAAUGAUACAUCACAAAAUCUGAUGAGCCUGAUAACAAAACAUGUCCGAAAAAAAUGAAGUUCACGUUUAAUGCCGUUUGCGUCACCAUGACAAGUCAUAAAGUUAGAUGAAGUGAGUCAUUCCAACAUCUACACAAAGAUGUAUUGUUUUUAAAGUGUCCAUAUUUGACUUCAGUGAUACACAGACUAUAUAUUUUUCUUUCCCUUAUUUUCUGGUCUAAAAUUUGUAAAGGCAAUCCUGCAGCCCUGUUUUCUUAACAUGAAAUUACCCUCAUUGUCAAGCAAAAUAUAUGAAUCUUAGUUCCAGUGAGUCAUUGUUCCUGGCUAAGAGAGAGCAGCUGAGUAAAAAGAAUAAUCUGUCUGAUUUUGGCAGGGAGGAGUCAAAUGAACCAAAAUAGCUCCAGACAAAAAAUUAUUUGUUUUCAGAGUUCUCACAGAGAAACCUCUAAUGAGAGGUGAUACUACGCCCAUCCAGACAAGAGUCAGUGCUCUUACAGUGUGACGCCUGCAGGUUAACACUGCCGUUUGUCCGCACGUCUGGAGUCGUUUACCCUCGCCAGCCCUGACUCAUCCCCCACCGGAGCCCAGCCUGCUGUCGGGGCUCAGCAGCACCCAUUCAACACGAUGAGAAACAUUCAGAAAAACCAAACACCAACCGGACACACGACAGGCUGUGAUUCACACACACCCACUCAAUCUCCAUCCACACAUAAGCAGCCACAGAGGCGUACAGGUCCAUGUCUGAAAUGUUGUUGAAGAGGCCAGCCAGGAGGUGAUCUAAGACAGAGGUUUAAACAUAACAUCAGGAGGAAAGGGAUGGUUCUCAAAGUGAGAAACAAAAACAAAACAAAUAUCUGCUGCAAGUUUGGGACUUUCUCUUAUCUUUCUCAGGGGAAACACAAGUCAGUUUUUUAUUUACCCUUAUAACAACUAUCCAAACAAUCUAAUUGAAGUUGUUGUGAAAAUUUGCUUAAAACUUUUAUGACUUUUAGGCGUUUUAUGACAUGUAACCUUUAACAGACAGAUCUCACAAAAAGCUCAUAUAAAACAUAAAUGGGGAGAAAUACAACAGCUAAAAAGAAAGAGAAUUAAAAGGAAAAUACUCAUUAAAAGUUGCAUCAUAGUAAAAAAAAUUACCUCACUUUGAAAAUUUGUCUGAAACUACGAGGGUGAUGUAUUACUCAAGUAAAACAUUAGCAAAGAAAAGGGCGUUUUUCACUGUAAAGUAGGUCGUUGUAUAAAAAAUACUUUCUAUUUCACAAGUAGAGAAUACAAAGUAAAAUGUAUAACACUGAAAUGAAAAUGAAAGUAAGAGAUUUUCAAAGGAUUAAUAGAUAUUUAAAAGCUUCGAUGAAAAAGAAAAGAGGACUUCGAUGAAAAAAUUGAGCAUAAGAUAAAAGGUAAAGAAAUGAACAAGCAUGGAAAAUUAAGAUGUUAAAAUUCAAGAAAAAGAAGUCUGAAAAGUCAUGAAAAGAAAUUUAUAGUUGGCCGAUAUCAGUUUUAAUGGUUGGUGCCAAUAAUGAAAGAGCAGAUCAGCUGGUGUCUGAUAUAUUCUAUAUCACAUUGUUGUUGUUGUUGUUUUCCAUUUCCAACAAUUUAAUAAGUCUAACAAAUAGUAAACAAAAUCAUAGUUACAUUACAGUAUCUGUUAUUGAUGUGAUAUGAUGUGAUUUGAGAAAGAAAAUUAUCAUUUUGAAAAGAUUAUUGUUCCAUUGGUCUUGUAGUGUUGUUACUUCAAAAUGUUAUUAAUCAUACUAAUUAAUUAGCAGACUAAUUGAUCAGUCCAUCUCUAUUGUGUGUUUCAGUAUCAUCAGCAUGUAUCAGUAUGUUGCAAUCAGAAAUAAUUAGUGGGAGGUUGUCAAUGAAAACUGAAAAAAAGAAGUGGUUUUAAGGUGGAGACAUGAGGCACACCCCUCAGAUAAGCUAAUCAGAUUUUUGACUUUUCACAACAACACUUUGCUUUCUGUUGUGUAAAUAAGAAUCAAAUCAUGGCAAUGCAUGCUGGGAAAAAUGUAUAGUGCAAAGUUUGUCCAAAAGUAGAUAUUGGGCCACCAUCUGAAACAUGAACAACCCUCUGCUUUGUCUCCAAAAGUAUUAACCCAACUGUUUUGAGCAGCACAACAACUGCAGUGAGAGUCACUCCUUGUUUAGAUAUUGCUUCAUAUUCAGGCGCCUAAAACAUCGUCAACCUCUGACCCACAGAGAUUGUCUCGUAGGGUUAACAAUAUAGAAUCAAAGGGAGUCUGCAGUAUUUAGGUCGAAUAUUACUCAACCCUGUUCGUUACAUGACUCACUGAAGUUAUUUAAAUAGUUAUGAAUGGAGCCUGACAAAGCCGCUCCUCCCCUUGUAUGUGUGUGCAUGUUUGCACACCACAAUGUGUGUAACGGGAGCGUAGCAUGGGUGCAGCCCGGCUUUUGAUGAGUCACAUGUGGAUCCUCUGUGAGUAACUAACCAGCUAUGUGAGUCCUGAAGUUUCAGACCCACACAGAAAACCCCUGGUCUCAGAGGGAGGGGGAGGGGCAGGGCAGGGUGGGGCGGCUCUGGACUGUUGAUGGGUGUGGUCUGCAGGAGUGGUGAGGCAGAGAAUAGAUGUGGGGUAAAAUAGCAGGAUGUAGGUGAGGACCGGGAUCUGUGAGUGGAAGGUGGAGGACGGGAUGGUGAGGGCAGAGUAAGGUCAGGAUUAGGGGAAAGAGGUCAUCGCUCAGGGUCAAAAAAUGGUAAUGACUACAUUUUACCUCACCCUGUUAUCUCCCUCUAAAUCUGUUUUUUAAUUUGAGGAGUUUUGUGUCUGUACACUCAGGUACUUUCUUUGAAUAACUCUGGUCACUGCAGAAUAACAUGUUUAUCAGCUUCUGCAUAUCAGUCAGUUUUGGUAAAUUUUGGUACUUUCUCUUUCUGUGGUCACACUCAGCUCUCUGACUCCAGAGGUGUCAAAAGUCCAAACUUUCUUUACCUAUAAACAAAAACAAACUUUUACACAAAAACACAGUGGCAAAAAAGGUACUGUUUAACUUUUGGUUCAACAAAACUCACUGAUAAUGAAUUUGUCAAAGUAACUUUGCAAGUCUGAUAUUGUUUCUAACACUUACCUAAACAUAGAAGGACAUAUAAGUAAUUUUAAAAGUAUUAUAGCCAAGCCUAACAAAACUACAGCUAGAUAUUGAUUCGAGAUUAUCACCUGCAUAAAAAUGUUGAGGUUAGCAUUAAGAAUUGACAAAUGUAUAAUUUUAAAGGUUUAGAUGGUUUAAAAAAAAAGGAAUUCAUUCUUUUGUUUUUUCAAGAAACUUAAAUUUGAUACUGGGAGUUUGGGGUUAAAAGUUAAGAGAAAAACACCAGAAUAUCUACCAAAAUAAAAAUAAAAAAAUUGCAAGUAGCCGCUUUUAAGUAAAGUGCAAUACAAAUACAAUAAUAAACAAUACAAAAGACACAUUACAUGACAAUAUAAGAUGACACAAAACAAUUCAUAAAUAUAUAGUAAAAUAAAAUAAAUCUCAAGAAAAAACAUUGCCUUUAGAUACAAAUCAAAAUAAAAUAACACACCGUAAUGAAAAAAGGUGAUACAGAGUGAUUCCAAAUCAAAACAAAACAUUUCAAAAGGAUACUAAACAACACAAAAUGAUAUAAUAUUAUACAAUUACAAAAUUAACAGUACAAUCAAAAGUAAUAUAAAAUGAUGCAUCAUAUUAAUAUACGAUAUAACGUUAAACACAUAAUAUCAUGUAGUUCAAUGCAAGCCAGUACAAAACAAUAUAGUUGAAAUGAUAUAUUUAAAUUUACAUUACAAUACAAUUUAUCUAUUUAUGUAAUAUGAGAAUUAUGCCGAUUGGCAUGGCAUUAUAUCUUAACAAUAAUUAUAACAAACUAAAUGCACAAGAGUUUAAAGCACGGUAAAACUGCAUAUAUAAUUGUUGUGUGUGUGUGUGUAUGAAUAUAUAUAAAUAAAUAAAUAAAUAAAUAUAUAUAUAUAUGUGUGUGUGUGUGUGUGUAUAUAUAUAUAUAUAUAUAUAUAUAUAUAUAUAUAUAUAUAUAUAUAUAUAUAUUUGUAUAAUUUUGCUGUAAAGUGAUAAAUGUAAACAAAUAUAAUGGAAUUCAUGAAAAAUUUGUCAAGUAUAAAAAUGAGGGUCAGUGUUCAGACUUUUUGGUUACUCAGCCCCCUCCUUGACAGCAUCCUACUCUUUUAUCAUGAUUAUAAAUGCAGUAUUCCUGUAAACCAGUGCAAAAAAUGCAUGAUGUUAGUUCCUACAUUUAGUGGGUAUUUGUGCAUCUGGUUCUGGACAACAACAUAAUGUAUAUUAAGAGAGAAGGCUGGGACUUAAUUAUAGCUUAGUUUGGACUGAAAACGAAAUAUGAAACAGGACUACUUUAGCUUUUAUCUUUUGCAGGUGAUUUUCUGAAACAAGCAUAAGAUGCUCUUAUAUAUUUAUUUGUGUGGGGUGUGUAAACUAUGUGUGUGUCAGUGUGUGUGUGCUGCCAGUGGGGCUGGAAGUCAUAAAGCACCCUCUACUGUGGCCGCUGUGUGUGUUUUCAGUGUGGGGGGGCGGCCGUCCCUGCCUCCUUUCCCUUUUUUAAGAAGCUGGGACCCUUUUUUCUACAGACGCCCCGACUCUCUGGCCAGGGGGAGUUUCCUGCUUUUGAAGACACACACACACACGCUCAGAGAGAGAGAGAGAGAGGGAGGCUGCCCUUACUUUUUCCUCCUCCUCCUCUCCCCCUCCCUCUCUCCUCCUCUCUUUUUCUGAAUGGAUGUCCUCUCUCUAACCUCAAUUGAGCGCUGUGUAACAGGACACUGCCCUCUGCCGCAACAGGCUCAGCCCCCUCUUUAACACUAUAAGAGAGUGCGGCGGCGCUCCCGAGAGCGUGUGUGAGGGAAAGUAUGUCCGACAGUGUCAGUCUGAGGGAGAGAAGGAGGGAGGGAGGGUGAGGGAAAAAGAGAGAGAGAGAGAGAGAGAAACAUGUGAUAGCGUAACUUUGGCGGGGCUUGUUGGGAGUUUAACGGCUGUGGUGUCUCCAGAGCUCUGGGAAAGCACCUUUAGCCCAGAGGGAGCCUCACACACACUCACACACACACACACUCAGACACACACUCAGCCUCUGUCAGUGUGUGUGUGUGAGAAACUGUGUGUGUUUAGAGCUGCUGUUACUGAUUACACUCUGAAGAAUGCAGCAGCAGGAGGAGGAAAAAGAGAGGAGAGACAUGAAAAGAUGAGAUCUUUUAGGAUUUUUUUUUUUGCGUGUGACUUGCUCUCCCAGCCGUGGACAGUGACGUGGGUGAGAAGUUGUUACCCAAUCGCGUCUCUCCCCUUUUCUCUCUCCCUUUUUUUCACUCAAGCAAAGUUAAAGAGAGAGGGGAAGCCGAAGGGAAAGGACACCCAGCAAAGUCAGACCGGUGAGCGUGAGGAGGGGGGGAUCCCUCAUUCCUGAGCCGGGAGGAAACUCACCCAGACGGGUAAGUAAAGAGGAAAAAAAGGGAGAGAGUGUGUGAUAGAGGGGGGCAAUGCUCCCAGAGAGUUGAUGGAUAUCAUAUGUUAGAUGUUAAAGCUUAGGAAACUGCUCCCAGAUCAGUUUGGGAGCAGGAAACGCAGUCAGCUGAGCGUGUUUGUGAAAGUUUGAGCGUCAGGAUGAUCUUUACUCCAUGAGCCGGUGGGUGUCACGCUGUGGGAGUUUGGGGUAGCGUUACCUCACAGAAGAGCUGAUUCACUGUUACAUAGCCGGCUUGUGUGUGUGUGUGUGUGUGUGGAUCACACACUCUUUGAGGGGCUUAUUACAGUUCAAGGAUUAACUGAGAGGAACAAUGUAUGCUAUCUGUGCGUAAAAAUAGGUCUAAUCUGCAGUUUUUUUCUUCACUUCCUCCCUGUCACGCUGUUUUCUCCCCCCCCCCCUCUCGUGCUCUGACACAGAUAGCACAGUCCACUCUUGCAGCUCAGCAGCAGAGGGCAUGAAUGAACGGGGUGGAGGGUGAGGGAGGUGAUGAGGAAGGAGGAAGGAGAGGGGGGUGGAUGCAUGUAGUAUCAUACAGCACGGACAGCGCAGUGUGGCUUCUUUAUGAAUGGACGUGGCAGCCGCGUGAUGUGAUUGGCUGAGAGCAGAGUGACGAGUCAUGACUGCAAGAGCCCGAGUGUGUGGAUUCAUUUUAAAGAGAGCGUGUGUGUGUGUGUUUCAGGGGGGAAAAUGUGUGUGUUAGUGGGACACAGAGAGAGUGUUUUUGUGUGAUUCAGUCCUGGUGGUUCUGGGUUACAUGUGUUUGUCUAAAGGGGGCUUAGUCACUGGCUCAACAGUGGGGUGUGUGUCUUAAAAUCUGGACUUUUAAAAGCGGUGGCGGUCUGCCCGGCUGUUGUUCCUCUUCAGAUGAGCUCCCACUCGCUCCCACUCGCUCUGACUAAGACCACGCUCGCUCCAGCUCUCAUUACUCUUACUCACUUGUCAUGUAAUCAGAGGGCAGGUCUCCAGACUUCAUGCAGUAAUAUCACUGCUGAAUCACUCGCUGAACUCGUGAAACUGUAAUGUCUUCUGCGUGACAUUUACUUUUUUGGAUUUCCGUUCAAUAAUUUAAGGGAAAAGUGGACACCAAAAUUAUCUGUAAUCACCUCUAACUCUCAAAGAGAUCCAGGGACUGAGUGUGUCAAAGUACAAGUGUGUAUAUCACCAGUAAUAGUCACUUAUUACAAAUAAUAAAACACAUGCGAAACUUUUUUAUGCAAUAAUAAAGUAAAACAGAAAUUAAUUUUUGUUACUAAAUCAUGAAAAACAAGUGAUUCAUCCAUUCAGAAAUGAUGCCAAGUGCUUCUCUGGUGAGAUCUGAUGUUUGAAGAAUGAAUGAAAAUUAAGUUAUUUUUCUCUCAUUUCUCAUUUCUCUGAACUGAUUAGUCACUGCAUGACUUUUUAAUUUUUGCAUGUCGCAUUAUUUACUUUGCACAUGUAAACACCUGAGUUAGAGAAUGACAGUUUGCAACUUUUAUAGCAGCUUAUUUGAUGGUUCAAGUCAUGAAACUGAAUUAAAAAAAAACAUUAAAAGUUCAUAGAAGAAUGAGUUUUCCACCUCUCUCUUUUCUUUAUCUUCCAUACUUACUGAGGGUAUUUUAAGUGUUUUUAGUUGGGUUGUAUUUAAGAGAGGUUCAUUUAGGACAAGUUGCUGCAUUACUUUUUAUUUUUGAACAAGUUGAAUUAUUUGAAAUACUUUAAAGUCAAUAAUUGUGUACAUGUAAACACCUGUGUUGCAGAAUGACAGUUUGCAACUUAAAGCAACUUUUAUAGGAGCUUAUUUGAUGGUUCAAGUCAUGAAACUGAAUUUAAAAAACAAAAGUUCAUAUGAGAAUGAGUUUUCCACCUCUCUCUUUUCUUUGUCUUUAUUUACUUUUACUGUACUUACUGAGGGUAUUUUAAGGUUGUAUUUAAAAGAGGUUGUUCAGUUAGGACAAGUUGCUGCAUGACUUUUUAUUUUUGCACAAGUUGAAUUAUUUUGAAUACUUUAAAGUCAAUAAUUGUGUACAUGUAAACACCUGCAUUGCAGAAUAAGAAUUUGUGAGUUGAAUGGAACUUUUAAAGUGGAUUUUAGUAAUGUUAAAAAUUAUCAAACAGGGUAGAGUUAUUGAAAAAAAAUUAACUGAGAGUGAUAAGAUAUCUUGGCAGUCUUUUAUUGCACUUAAAGUAUUUUAACUGAUUUCAGUGGUGUUGUGAUUAAGGGAUGUUGUUAUUUAUCUAAUGUCUACUCACAUGUUGAUGCAGGACUUUUUAUUUAGAGUCAACAAUUUUGCACGUUAACAGAUAAGCAGAAAAAUGACGGUUUUCAGGUUGAAUCUUUUUUUGUAAAAGUUAAAAUUGUUGUACAGAAUGAAACACAUUUAAAGAUUUAUACAAGACUGAUCAUGUUUUAGCCGAAACAUUUUUGCCUUUACUUGGUGGGAUAGCUUCAGAGGGAAAUAAGACGCCCAGGUGGUACUUUUUAACUUUCCUUUAAGUAUUUUAAAGAUUUUAGUAGGACUGUUUUUGAGAAAGGUUGUUUUAAGUGUUUAAACGGUUUUAUUUUAAAACAACCAAAUUGAGAAACAAAUUGCCUCUUUUUUUUCAAAUUGCUGAUUCUACUACCAAGUUAAAAUCAUAAAUUAUGAACCAUAAUUACUCAGAAGUGUAGUGUGCAGUGGCAAUAUGAAAUAAAAGUCCAUCUGUCUGUUUGAAUAAGUGUUUUUGUUUUGUAAAAUUUGAAUUAUCCUUUUGCACCCUCACGCUUCUGCAGCUGCACAGAAUGGACAUAUAGUGACAUUCAUGUUUUUAUAUUGAGUGAAUUACAGUGUGAAUUGCACUGGUUGGGAGAUGAAGAAAAAGGUUGUUGUUGUGCACAAAAUAACUCGCACUGAUCAACAUUUUUGAUCAUAAAAAUUUGUCUUCAAAGGCCACUGUAGCUUCACUGAUGAAAGUGGUGAGCAAGGGAGCAUCUCACUCUCGAAGAUCACUAAAUAUUCACGUCUGUUCACUGUUUUUUAAGAGUCAUGGUAAUUUUGCAGAGUUACUGAGGUAUUUCAGUAUUUCAUUCACUUUUGUCAAAUUCUUUUUAUCAAGCUUGAACAUAUAAAAGGACUUCUUUGCGUAUUUUUCUUUGUAUAAUUCAAGUUUCAAGUCAGCUGAAGCACAGGGGUUCUGUUGCUCUCAUUAUUUCUUCUGUUUAGCACCAAAACCUCAAGAAUAAUUCCGCUUUUCUGUAAACAACUUUGCAGCAAACCUCAGUCUGUUCUGACAUCGUUACACAUGGUGGUUUGAGGGUCACGAUAAUCGUAUGGUUCCUAAAGAAGUGCAGUACUGUUUGACUCUUUUAGCAGCUCUUCCUUCACAUUUUUACAGAAAUACUGUAAAUUUUAUUGUUUCUUUUCCUGUCAAUUUUCCUGCUCACUUGCAACUACAUUUAUGUUUCUUCUUGUGUCACUAUUCUGCAUUAAAACACUGGAAAUGUUCAUGUUGUGUGAACCAGCUUCACAACAAGACUCAAACCACAGGACUCAAGACUCUUAAGAAUAUUGUAUUCUUACUAUGAUAUUGUAUUUAUGUAUAUUUAAGGCAGUCUUUAUAUCUCAUAAUUGAUCAAAGUGAAGAUUACAGUUUAAGUUUAUCUAUUUGUAUUUUAUGUCCCAAAACUAGUGAUGAUGUUAGUUCAGGCAGGCCAGGAAAACUAGUUAACCCACCUUAAACCUGGCGCUUAGCUGCUACUCUCUAUCUCAAGCUUUGGCAUUUCCUGUAUGCAUGUAGGCAGCUGUACAUGGGGGUCUUUGCUGCUGCUCUCUCUGCCUCAGGUUUUGGUUCUUCAGACCUCCAUGCUUAACACGCAUGCACAGCUGGAUCUGUUUCCUUGUUUUACUGCCACUGAAUGACAGCCGCUCCUUUAACUCCACCAAAGUUUACUGCAGUUUCACGUGGAACACUUUCUUCUUCACUGCUAGAAACUCCAGCAUAAUGGUAGUUUAUGGCUCUAGUGUGUGUCUAAAUGUGUUAGUGUGUGUCUGUGUGAGUGAGGAGUUGUGAUAAGGUGCGUAACUGUCACAUCAUAGCGCAGAGGAUCUAUCAGCUCUUAUCGGGCGGCGUUUCCGGCUGAGUUUGAGAUAGGAGGACGGAUUGGCGGUGAGAUGCAUCGCAGGUAUCUUGAUGAGGGUGGAGAUUAAAUUCCCAGGUGGAGAUUAGCUGGAAUCUGCCCCCUUGCCUUAUCAACCUGCCGACACAGAAUGAACUCUGACCCCGCAGCCUGCUUGGCAGGAAGUAGAGUUGACCUCGAUCCAGGUUCCAAUUACACUUCCGGGACAAAAAUCAUGCGUUUGUGAAACACGUGAACCAUUCCUUUAAAAUCUAAUCAUAACUAUGAGAAAGUUUACACAGGUGACAUGAGUUUAUGAAACACUUAUUUGAAAGAGUGCUUCAUUCCCUUUUUGAAGGAUCACAUUUUAUUGAAUAAGGACACAAUAACUGGAUUUUUAUGUACUUUUAAAAAUGGAGCAUUAGAAUGAAGUCGAAAACUUAUCGAGAAAAUCCAACAUCGAGCAUGAUUUCGUGAUUAUUUCCUAACUACAUUUACCCAAAAACCUACUUAAUUUUAAAUUUUUGCAAUGACUGAUGCUUUGUUUUAUUUCAUUUAAUUAAUUUUUUAAAUGCUUAUUUGUUCCUGUAGUUUAGGAACUUUUUCAGCUUACUCCCUGCGAUAGAGAACUUUUUCUAGCCUCUCAUAACUUUUCUUUCAGACUUAUCAUCGAAGUAUUUUUUAACACAAGGCAUUCUACAGAGUCUGUAUAAAGAUCGGUGGAUGAACAGAUGAUUCAGUGAGGUGGGACAGAUUACAGGGACACAAGUCACCACACUGACUGAACCUCAUUCUCUGCUCUGAAUGAAGCACACACACAGAAACACACACACUCACACACACUUGGGCUGCAGUAAGUCAGGCGUUGGGUAAAGUUUCUUAAAGUGGGUUAAGCGGCACAAGAAGGAUCUUAACCAUCACUUGACUCAUUCCUUCUUUUCUUUGCCCGACUUUCCUUUUCACAUGACUCGUCUUUGUUUAUCCAGCAACAAGUCACUCUCACAAGUCCGUCAUUCAGCGGCAGAUUGUGCAGUUAAGAGCUUAGCCGCAUAACUCAGAUGUCACAGGGCUGAAAGCAGUUUGGUUCAGCCCGUUAAUGUGUGUGCGUCCUCUGUGUGUGCGUGUGUCUGUGUACUCAGGAACACUCGUUCCAACGGUGUGCUAACCACACACACCUGGCCUGUUUCCUCCCAUGCUCAUAUAUGGGCAAAGCUUCCCCUACCUGGGCCCCACUCUGGAUUCCAAUAAGUGGCAGUAUGUGUGUGUGUGAGCGUGCGUGAAAGAGGCUGUGGAGACGGAUGCACGUCAUGGAAAACCAGGAUCAAUGGGCACGGCCGCAGAGCUGCGUUUUUAAGGUGUUCCUUUUGUUUUCCAAAGGUAAUCAGUGAACACAAUGACUCAGCCGGGCCGAGGCGGGCUGACUAUUCAGAGUGUCCGCAGCAAGACGACGUCAGAGAGAUGCAGCCGUCAUAUAACUAUUAUAGGAGAUAAUCCAAAUAUGAAGCAGGUACAAGAAACUCCCUAUAGAUCAGAUUUUAGAUCAAGAAUCCAGACAUGUCUUUGGUCAAUCAGCAGGAGCACUGAGCCAAAAGAGAUAUAGUCAACUGCUUUUGACUUUAUUUGAAAUAUUUUCUUUACCCUUCAUCCAAAGAGACUCUCUAGAGACUCCAAAAUACAUAAACUCAAAUUGUGCUGCUUGUAUUAAAGUUAAUCCAGCGAUGAAGCAGGUAGGAGAAACUUUAUUGUUAGAUAUUAGAUCAGGAAUCCAGCACUUAAUAGAAGUAAGACACACCAACAAAUAUUGAAACUUCAUUUUAAGAUUAUUUUCUGUUCUUGUUUUCUCAAGGUGAUUUUUAAAAGACCUACAAAGAUUUCUAGGGCACAGAAAGUCAGACUACAGACCUCUUUUUCAAUGUAAUCCAGCAUCAAAGCAAGCGAAACAAAAUCCCUGUGAGUCAUGUUUGAUAUUUAAAAUUCCACUCUUAAUUUCAGCUAAGCUGAGGCAUGAACUUUAAGGAAUAUUUCAACACUGAAUAUCACAAAUCCUUUGAAUUUUAACCUCAGUGACCCCCUUUAUCCCUAGAGACUUUUAAAGCAAAGUGCUUUUUGAUUGAGUCUUAAUUUUUCUUGCCUCAAAGGAAAAAUUUUUAAAACUUUACUGAAAAACUGAAUUCACGUUUUAAGAUUUUGAUGCACAAAUUCUUUCUGGAGGAUAUGUAAGAACAAGUGAAAAAAAGGUUUUAAAACACAAACACUGUGGAAAUGUAGGUGUUAUUUAAAGACACUAAAACCAAGAUCAGGUGCAUUAUAUGAAAAACGACUUUAACUUUCAAACAUUGAAAAAUACUAAUCUUUUUGUGAGUUGUUUCCUAAAAGUCUGGAUUUUCCCUACCUUAAACUUUUCAAGGCAUAUCUACGGUGGCCCUUGAGGUCAAGUGCACAACCAUUUCAUGACCACAAAAAGCAUUUCAUAGAGUUUUGAAAAACAUUCUUCACAUUUUGUGAAUUAGUUUUGCAUUUUGUUAAAUAUAUUGUCGUGUUUUGUGAAAUGUUUUCUGGUUAGUAACUUUUUGAAUUACCAUUUUUUUGUGUUUUGUAAAGCGCUUUUACUUUCUGUAAAAUAUUUUUGUUUUGUAAAUUGUUCAUGGAUUUCAUGACACAUUUUUUUGUGCUCAUGAAAUGUUUGUGAAUGUUUAACGCUUUUAAAAAGAUUUUUUAAGACCUAGUGCGCAGUUAUGUAUAUAUAUUUUAGCUAGAACUAAAACUGCAGUUAAUUAAUACCAAAAAUUAAAAAAAAUUCAACAGUCAAGCCAAUACUCAGUCAUUUUGACAGUUAAAACUUUAAAAACUAUUUUAAAGCUGUUUGAGUCUUUUUUUUUAAAACAAAAAACUCUAAAGUACAAGUUUUCAUAAAUGCCAUGAAUGUUCAGUUUUAUCUUAAAAUACAGAGAAGUUUGGCAAGUUAAUGAGUGCACAGUUUUUUGUUAAUAUGUAACUGUAUAUGUAUGCAAAUUCUUCCACAUACACUUAAUCAUUAAAAAUCUAAAGCUUAUAUAUUUCUUUGGGAUUCUCCUUUUAAAAGCUUUAAAAUCAAACUUAUUUAUCUCUAAUUUCAGGAUGGAUUAGAUUACGAUCGAUAAAAUCCUCCGAGAAAAGUUCACUUAAUAUAACUUAAAUAAUGGCAUCCGCUCAUGUCUGUUAUACCGGAGGGAUUACUUCAUCAAAAUUCAACUUCUUGAAUAUAAUUACAGAUUCUGAGAUGAUAAAAUUAACCGGCACCAAUACUUCCUCAAUUUAACUUCUGGUAUUUUAACAUCUCUUAACUCUGCAUUGGUUUUUGUCGUAAAAAUCUGUAUAAUUGAGCUAAUGCUGUGUGAAUUAUGUAAGUCUAUAAAUGAUCAUAGAUUUUUCAAGAACACUUUUUUGGGACUCUUAUCAAACCAGUGGAUCCAAAACUAUAAGAAGAAAUAUAGAAACAUGGUCAUGAUAUUCUUUAAGAGCCUGGAGACACUUCUUGUCUCCUAAAUCUGUUUGGCCUAAAGCUUGUACGAGUUACGCUCGAUCUUUAAAAGGUUUAUUUAAGAUUAUACCAUUUCUGCAAAUUUUGCAGUGCAUGCAUCCUAAAGUGAAAGGUCACAAAGAGACGAAGGACGAUACUGCGUGUAAGAGGGAAGCUUUUACUUUCUGUUGCAUGGAGAACGAAGGGUUUCUGCAUCUUUGGGUUUCAUUUAAGAUAGAUUUAUUCAGGAUCAGACCCUGUGAGAGGCUGUCUCCAGAAGGAUAAACCCUGUGACCCCACAAAGGUCAAAAGGUGAGGGAGACUCCUUCUUUCCCUCCUCUUUCUGUACUCCUCUGUUUCUCCCUCCUCUGCCGCCUCCUUUCUUCGCUUGCUGCACGUUUGCCAGGCCUUCAUAAAGCAGCUCGAGGAGGGAGUUAGCUUUCCUCGCUCGUGUUGCCAACUCUUUCCCAUCAGUCCAGCCCCCUGGAAGACUCUGCAGACUCCCCACUCUCCCUCUCUCCCUCUCUCUCCCCCGGCCUAAAGCCGAGCCUGGGGCUGGGGGACGGGGUACAGGCCGUUGUGUUCGAGGUGGGGGCUCCCUCUGGAGAAGCUCUUUGCAGGCCUGGAUUUAGUCUGCACCUCCACGACAGCCACCAAGCAACACCCAGAGGAAGCGUUUGAGAUCGGCUUACAUAUGAAGCCUGGUUCAUCUCCUGAGUUUUAAAAUGAGGAUAGAAAGAAAGUGGGAGAUGGUGGAAAAGGAGGGGGAGACACAGAAGGGGAAAGACUUUGGAGAGCGAUGAGAGGUGGCGGGGAAGACGGAGACUCCAUAACCUUGGUGUCUCUGCAGAAUCAGACACAUUGGCUUCGUCUCUUUGGUUGGACACUUUCACUCAACCGUAACGACCGAUCAGACGAACAGACCGGGCUUUAAUGGAAGCUGAAGAGCUGAGAACUGAUAUCUGAUUGGCUGUCGGCCUCGUGGAACAACUGCUUAAUUGGUGGCGAAACUGGUGGCGAGCGCUGCAUCAAGACAAGACCCUGUCUGCAAGAUGACUAACAGAUGAGAGAUCGAAAUGAUUGGUGCAGGAUUCAUGAACAAAAAUAAGGGAAGCGAUUUCUAAUGUUGGAACUUUUCAUCAGUAUCGAGGAGGGCAGGGUCCUCUGUGCAAAAGGAACAAGGACCAAAACCAACGCUGGAUGGAUCUUACGGUCAGCACUGCAUUGAAAACAGACAGGACUCUGUAGUGGAAAUCACUGAUCACUUCCAAAAACCAUCAUCUGUGUCCACAGUUCAUCACUGCAUCCACAAAUGAGGUUGAAACUGAACCAUGCAAAGAAAUAAACAGAUAUAAACAUGAUCCAGAAGCACCAGAGACUUCUCUGAGACCUGAGGAAUCAAAAUCGGACAUUCUUACUGGUAAUCAUGGUCAUUGCGUCCUCCACUCUAAAGAACAGAGGGACCAUCUGGCUUGUUAUCAGCUCACAGUCCAAAGCCAGCAUCCCUGAUGGUAUGGGGCUCAGAAGUGUCCAUGGCAUGGGAAGCUUCCACAUCUGUGAAGGAGCAACAUCUGCUGACAUCCAGACAAUGACCUUUUCAGGGAAGACCUUCAUAUUUCAGCAAGGCAGUCAGUUCAUUUACAUGACACUCGAGAAUACCGAAUUAUUGCCUUAUUCCGAUUAAGACCGAACAACUGAAGUGCACGUAAACACCUUAGUCCGACUAUAAUCGGAGUUUGAGAACUCUGAUUAAGACACCCAGAUAAUGCGAUUGGAAUUCGAUUUUCUCUACCAUGUAACCAGCGUAGACGGAGUAUGAUCGGACAAUGCAUGUGUGUACGCCACACCCUUGUAACCCCGGAACAAAAACACCAGAGAAGAGGAGUAGUGUGCAUCUCAUCUUCAGAAAAAGUAGCCCGUUCAUCAUGUACAACAAAAACGACACUGUACGAUGCUCCAUCUUCUUGCUUGGAAAUGCCCAGCAGCAGUUGUAGACACUUCUGACGUCUGGCAUGGACCUGCUGCUGUUGUUGACCGUUGUAUGGGGUCGGAUACGCGCCGCUGAAAAGACCCAUAUCACCCACAAGUUUUAGGGAGAAGGACACGUUCGCAUCAAUAAUUCGUGGACAAGGAGACAAGUCCAAUUUGGCGGAAAGAACGAAUUAUGAGCUUUGUCCGAUCAAGCUGUGCAUGUAAACGCACUGAAUGACCGACCACAUUCUGCUGGGAUUACAACAGCGUGGCUCUGUAGUAGAAAAGUCCUGCCUUAUAACUUUUUGAGCAUCAUGACACAAAAAAAAACAGGACAAAGGAGACCCUGGACCAUUAAGAACACGAGGCUUUUGUAUUUUAAUAAAUGUUAGAGUAGAUGAAUUUUCCCCAGUAUGUUAAGAACGAAAGAAAAGAUCGCUUUAGACUCUAGAUGGUGUUUCAGUGAAGGUUACAGGGACUUCAGGUCGAGGAAGGGAGUGCUGGGAAUCCUGAGGAAAGGGUGAGGAUGGGUGAUGCAGGGGGGGAGGACGGGUGAGGCCAGGCGUGCCUUCCAUUCCUGCCUGCUCGGGGUGAGGCUAUUCCUAGAGUGUGGUGGAUGGCAGUUGAUGUGGGUUUCCUCUGAGCUGCCUGGAAGAUGACUGGCCCUGACCACAUCCACAUUCACACACGCACACACGUACACACACCAGACACACAGUGACAACUGUACAGCAAACACACACAUGCAGAAACAUACACACAUUCACAUGCAUAAACACACACGUUGUAAGGAGAGGAAAGAGGAACUGAAUCAUUACGCUGCCUCAGCCUCUAAGCUGGGGGUGACCACUGUACAACUAUUUGUGUGUGUGUGUGUAUGUGUGUGUCUGCAUGUGUGUGUGUGUGUGUGUGUGUGCAAAGAUACGUUGCAUUUCUGCAGUAAAGAGACAUCAGCUCUUUGGUUGUGUGUCUGGGCUGUUUGUUGCUCAAGUAUGUGUGGGCAUGUGUGUGUGGGCGGGUGUGUAGGAUGUGUGAGCUGGGUGUGGAUGCAUUCCCUCAAUGUGUGUGUGUGUGUGUGUGUGUGUGUGUGUGUGUGUGUGUGUGUGUGUGUGUGUGUGUUUGCCUCCCUCCAUCUGUAAAGCUUAGGACUCAGUGUGUUCGGUUAUUCUCCAGAAAAAAUAAACCUGGAAAUCUUACAGUGUUCAUUAAAAUUGGCUUCCUGAAUUUUUCAAAAUCCAUAUUUUGCAUGCAAACACAUUCUGCACAAAGUCUUUGAUUCACACGCAACUGCAAACGUGACGUGCAAAGUCCUUUUGAAUCAAGACAUACAGCGUUUGCGUGAACAUAAUGAGUGACAAUUAGCUUAAAUUUCCCUGCAUGUGCUUCAUUUAGUAUUCGAGAUUGGGUUUUGGUUAUAUUUCAGUAUUUAUUUCCAUCUAUAAACCGGCAUAUGUAGAGAAGUCCUCCCUUUCUGUCCUGUAACUCACAGGCAUGUAUUUCAAAAGGCUCUGCUGGUUGGAUUCACUUGUGCAUAAACUCAAGCUGAUUGUUGCCUUCUUGAACAAAAUAGAAUAUUCAUCUUUGUGCUUUCAUCUUAUGCUCAAAAAACAGUUUUCUUGCUGAUGUUGUUGCAUAAACUUGACCAGAAAGCAUUUAGAUCCCCUUAUUUCUCUAUCCACCCUCACCUGCAUUUCUAUAGAAUCUAUGAAGGAGACUUCUCAUUUUCUAAUCACUGAUAAAUCAUCUGUAUUUCAUGUGGAAUUUAAAAAAAAAACAUAUUUUUGCAACAUAAUGGUAUUCAGAUUCACCAAAAUUAAAGCUUUAUAUCAAACCAUGUCUGAGUGGGGAUAGACUUGAGUUUGGUUUCUCAUGAGUUAUUUUUCAGUCUGUUUUAAACUCGGAUCACAAAGAGAAAAGAACGUUUUGAAUUUCCUCUGACCUCACCCUGCUAUCAUGUCGAGUCCCACUAAGCAAAGGCUUCAGUUUCGAUGGAAAAAUCAGAUGAUAAAGUGACUUCAGGUACAUCUGAGCUCUCUGGCAGCAUCACCAAAGCGUGGAAAAAAAGACAGAGAUAAGACAUGGAAGACGUUAUCAGCUUAUCUGUCGCCCUGUGAGCUUAUUCAGGCUCGCCAGUCUGGACCUGUCAAUAUCACAGUCCCUCUCGAGGUGCCGAUGACAGCUAUGACAAACAGCUGGGAAUCCUGAUUUAACCUGUAUCACGAUAACACGACAAGUUUCUGACCUCCCGUUUUCUUUCUUUAUGUUUUUCAGGUCGUCUUUUGUGCACCAGCUCUUCCACAAAUACCACCCGUGUGCUUCUAAAUCUACACCAAGCAGAGGUAAGAAGUCGUCCCUCGAUUUCUGCAGUUUUCUUUUCAUCUCUCUUCUCUGACUCCCACACCUCCACCCUCUUUGUGCAAACUGUAUUCCCUGCAGCAGAGAACAGAGCCCGAGGCAACAUCCCUUUACACCUCUUCAUAUCCCCCUUCGUUUAAAGCUUCGGCAGAGAGAGAGAAGGACUGAUGAUAACUCUUAAAGUUCACAGGUCAAAUCAGUCAAUACGCUGUCAGAGGAAAGAGGGAAAAAGCACAAGUCACACAACCUCUUCAAACCUUUUUCUCCUUUCGUUUUGUUGAUCCAAAGCUGCAUCAUGGAAGCAAACAGUGUUCCUCAGGGUUGUUAGAAAAGUAUUGAAAUUGACGCGAGUUUAAAAAAGUUCAGACAAGACAGAUGUUGAAGAAAAAUAUUUGUAUUGCAAAGCUCUUUCCACUUUUUUGAUGAGUGAAAAAGACAGAUCUUCAUUUGUGUUUCUUAUCUGCCUUUGUUAGGGGGAAACAGAUUGCGGGGCUGCAAGCUGAGCCGUUGACUGUGCACAGUGUUGGGAUUUCUCAAAUAAUUAUGUCUUUCUAAGCUUUUUCCAAAGAGCCAAAAUAUCCACAGAAGUCCUCUUCUCUCUGAGACAAAAAAAAUGAGUCAGUAAAAACCUGUUAACUACCUGAAAGAGACGGUUUACUUGAAAAUUCAGGUUUUUUUAAUGCACUUUGGUGAAGCCAGCCUGGUACAUUAACAUUAACUGCUGCUGACUUGUUUUCUAGCUAUACAAUCAGUUGAAUUAGUAAGAGAGAGUGAUUCAACAACUUUUAGUGCAUUAAGGAAAACAUUGAUUGUAAUUUUUAGUAGAAAACAAGGACUAUUUUAGCGGUAAAAUGUGAGACACGAUAGGCUGAUUUCUGAAUUUGCUGAAGUGUUGAAAUGCAUUUAAAAAACUGAUAGUCAAAGCUUUAUUCUUCACUCUUCCUUGCCAUUAAAAUCUAGUUAAACUGACAAAAUGAACAUCAGGUUUAGCCCUAGAAUAAUCAUACUCAGAUGUACUUUUUUGCCUGAACAAAACUAUUUGUUGCAUUGAAAUGUAACCCUGGAAAGGUCUGGAAUAUUGCGGUGAAAUAGGUAAAAGGUGAGAGAGAAAUAGAGACGGACAGAAAGAGCAGAGAUGGUGACAGAGAGCUGGAAUGUGAGACAGAGAGGGAGAGCGUCCAGCAGCACAUUUCCCUUAAUAAAAAGAAAUUGGAGUCAAGUGAUGAUCAGCUGGUCAGAGGACGUUUGAUCAAUACGGUCACGGGGCCUCAGGUAUGCAGAGCUCGGCGUGUGGCGUGUGACCGCAGAGAGAGGGAGAGGGAGAAGGAGGAGGGAGUCCUCCCUCUCUCACCUCCCGCUCCUCUCCUUCUGUGGUCACCUGUGCAGGUCGUCCUUUAUUGACCCGGGUCAGCUCUCCCAUUCUUGGCCUGGCUGAGAAUUGGAGCCCGCAUGGUGGUGGUCACCGCCUGUCGCGCCUCGGGGCUAAUGGGAAAGAAUGACAGGAAUCUGCAACUGAUAAUGCCACGCUAGGAGAAGUUCGUCAGCAGAUAAUCUCCCAUAUCCUUUCCUCUCCACCCUCAGGCUGCUCUUCUUCUCCUUCUUCAGAGAUACAGAAAGAAGUGUUACUUUAGAUACUUAUUUUUUUAUGCUUUGAAGAGAAGAUGUCCUGAUUUUACUUUUAUCUGCAGAGGGAAAAAAAAUUGCUGAAGUUUUGGUUGUUUUAACAAACACUACUCUCUCAGUUAGCAGCACUUUCUUUUACGUCAUUAUCACAUGAUUUUUACCAGCAAUUCUUCAAGAAAGCUGCAAGUCUUUUACUUGCACAUAUUUGUUUUAUCUGCUUGCAAAACUUUCCAAAAUUGUCAUGAAAAACCGUCAGCAACACUGUGAUUAAACGCUGCAUCAUUUUUACCCUCCCUUAAUUGACUUUUUACUUUUAUUUCGCUGUUCCUUCAUUCAUCAGCAUAUAUCUAAACAGUUUGGUGUUAUUAAUUCAGUGUCUGGUGUCUUUCAUACCUGGCCAUUUUCUGCAGUCCACAGUGACCUUCUUUAGCAUUUUUUUACCAUAUCAUCACACAGCAGGUCCUGGCAGAAAAGAGCAGCAUCUGUUUGCUGCUAAAAUCUCACUGAGGUUUAACCCUGAAAUGAGUAUUACCUUGUUAAUAAUUAAUAUCAACGGGUUUCAUCUGUAGAAUCUUAAGCAGUUGCAGUAAACCAGUAUUAAUGACAAUGACUUUUUUAAAUGAAUUAAUUCUUGAUAUAACACUAAGUGGACCUGAAUGAUGGUUUCCAGUUCAGUUCGGUAACUUAUGAUCUACUAGAAGUAGUAUAUUUCAAAAUAAAAGCACAGUUUGACAUUGCAGGAAAUAAAGAAAACUAAAUGAAACACAGAAAGAUAUAUUAACAAUUAAGCCAGACCAACUAUAAUUUUUUGAGGUCAUGUCUUCUCCAAAGAAGUUUCAGUCACAGGGCCGCUGAUGUGGAUAAAUCAUAAACUUGUACAUUGUUGUGUAAAUUACUGAUGACUGUAAGUUAAUUGUGUUUAUUACAUUUGUUUAUGAAGUGUUAUGUUGCCCCACUCUUGUCUUGCCUUUUCUCUGUAUGUCUGAUUGUGAUGUUUUUAUUCGUGUUUUCCAUAAAUACUACAACAAUGUCUUUAUUGUGACAUUUUAUGGCGAUGAUAAUCAAGAGUUAAAAAUCUGAAAUCCUGACAGCCCUCAUGUGCUCAUCAUUGAAACGAAACAGUUUGAUUUUCUGUGAAUAUUUGUCAUAUUUGUGAGGCCUGGAAGUUUCUAAAGAAUCUGAAGAAUCUGACAGUGCUCCUCUCUAAAUAUGUAAAAAUGAAAAUCUGAAAUGACCCUGCUGCCUGGAUGUAUUUAUGAGACAAACAAAGUGCUCUUGGUGGGAUUAAUGAAAUGUUCUGAUUGAUUUAUUGAAACACCUCCUUCUUCAUCUUUUCCUGCUCACCUCCCAUCAUCACUCAGGUCUUCAUAGAAAUGUUUUGUCUCUUUUCCCCUUGUUAUCCCCACUUAUCAUGUUUCUAAAGUCUUCUUUCUCUUCUCUCUCUCCUCAGAUUUGUCUCCAGGAGUUUGCUUCCCGUCCCUCUGGGCGUGACCGAAGCGUUCGCCCUUCACGCUUCACGCCUCUGUGGCUGCUGUCAGUUGCUCAGUAGGCAGUGUAGAUCCUGUGUAGCAAUCAGCAGCUACAUCUGGCUACUGGGUCUCUGACGGCUCGGCCUACUUCCUGGUUGAACCAGUCCAAACCCUGCUCCUAUUGGCUGCCGGUGCAUUCCAAUCCUGCGAUUGGCUGCGACGAGAGGGGGGCUCCAUCCUGUGACCCCACAGACAGGAUGUUCUCUGUGUCACAACUCCACAAGGGGCCCUUGUCAAGGCUUUUUUCUCCUCUUCCUCUUCCUCUUCUUCCGUCAUUCUUCUUUUAAUUCUGCCUCUCUGCCUCGUGCUCUGAGAGAUCCUCUUUGUACUAAAAACGCUGGGAACACAAACCCACAAAAGCAUAUUAGGGAUGUUUUUAGGUCUUGUGAUUAUGAUAGUGAUGUUAAAACUCAGCAUUUUAAUCAAAAUUCAAAAUCGUAUAAAUUUCUAAAAGUCUGCUGACAUAGGCGCCUAAUGAGGUGUGUUGAAGCUCAGGUACUUGUUUAAAAGAAAAGGUAAAAAUCAGACAAUCAUUAGUAAGAAACUAUUGAAUUGUUGGCAUUUGAAGCGCCUGGAAGAUACAGUCAGUUUGUGUUGAUUUUGGCGCCCCCUGUGCAAAGAGCAGCAUCUCUUUACGGAAACAGCUUUGAGCUUUAACAAUAACCACAUAAUAAGUCUGUCUUUAUGCAGAUGAUCUCAUUUGUUUUGUGGAUCACAGUGGCGUUUCAUGAGCUUCAAUUUCUCUAAAUGUUUCUGAGUUGGGUUCGAGUCAAUUCCUCCAAAUUAAAUUACUCUACGGGUUCUGUUCUUUAGUUAGUUAGGUUUUUUGUAUUAGUGCAAAAACGAUCAUAAAAAAGGAAAGAGACAUCUGCAUACAAAUUGCACAUGUAGGAUAAAAAAAAAGGGGUCUAGGUGUUCACAAAGGUCGAAAAGUUUUUAUUUAAGUGUUUCAAUUGAUGCAGACACUUCACUGUAAAAAAACGCGUAUUAUAGUCUACCUGCAGUCCCUUCAUUGUCCACCAGGAGGCUAAAUAGGAACAUUAGUCUUUUAAUUAGGCAAGUAUUCGAUUUUUCGACACUGGUGGUUUGUUUUUGACUGAUAGCUAUGAAUACUUUAUCUUCUAUCUUCUAUUUCUCCAUCAUUUUAACCUUUACAUUUCUCUUUAUCGAUUGCGAACUCACUACGUUGUCAGGUUUUCCGACACUAUUUCAAAUAAAGGAAAUCGGUCUGAUUUUUUAGGCUAACUUUGAAGGAACUUUAAAUAUCCUUGGUAAGAGAUAAUUAAAGGUGAUCAGAAAUGCCCUCGGGGAGAUGUUUGGCCAAAGGAAAAGUCUGAAUCGCUGCAUAUUUUCAGAAAUGAACCUUUGCUCUGUCCUGAACCUGGCAUACAAUGUAGAUUUCUGUGUGGUUCAAUUCUACAGCUACAUUGUCUGCUGGGUUUCUGGCUAGCAAUAUAAGCCCCCUGUUAUAUAAACCUUCCACACAGGUAAGCAUUCAUGUGUUCUGUCAAUGUGCCUCACAUACCUGACCUUGACUAUUCAAUAAAAAGGAAAUAUUUCACCUAAAUACUACUGAGUGAGUGACUGUCGUUUGUCAGACUGAAUAUCACAUUUGAAGGCAGGAAAUCUGGAAUCUGCAGAAUCUAAAUUGAUCGAGUGUUGCCUCUGCGUCCCUGGAGUUAACCCCGAGCUGGAGAUGCCAGGAAUAUUCUAGUAACUCAGCACAAAGCCAGCUCGUUGUCUGUCAGGAGGAUGUCAGACUGCUGUCAGACCAGCUCCUUAUUAGUGGGACAGAACUGUCGCAGCCAACACACACACACACAUUCACAGAUACACACACCUGGGAUUAUACCAAAACUUCAUAAAAACCAUCAAUGCCUUCAGCAGAUAUUUGGCAAUCCAUCCUCAGGGUGCAGAAGAGAAAAUCAAACAUUUCAUGGCGCUUUGCUCAGGGUUGCUCAGCAGAGAGACAUUAUCUUGAACAAUCGCACAACUUCAGGUGGCAAAUUGAAAGCCCACACCUGGGUGUUUUUCAGGUGAUUUGAAGCUUGUCUAAAAAUGAAACUCAAAUAUGUCCCCUGUUUGUAGCCGUUGUUUUUGUUAAAGGUCCUUGCAAGAUACAAAAACAAGUACACACAAACAGGACAUUGCCAGGACACUGAUGAAAAAGAGACUUUUAAUCCCAAUGAGUUAUGUGUCUCCAGGUUUAAUAAAGAAUAAAUAAAAUGAAAAUGAAAAGCGUUUAAUCCUGAGGAUACUUGGCUGAGGGACUGCUGAUGUUGGAUCAAACUCUCACACCUUCAGGGCACUGGUUGUUUAACGUGUAAUUUUCACCUGAGUGGUUUGGAACAAUUAACAUGUCAAAAAUAAAGGAACACAAAAACGUCCCCACUUUGUAGAUGUGUGACAUGACAAAAGUUCCCUGAUAGAUAAAAAAGCAAGCACACAAAAUUCACACGGAUAAAUUAUUUCAAAAUUUAACAAAAACCAUCAAUACCUUUAGUUGAUGUCUGGCAUACCAUCCUCAGUGUGCAGCAGUUGUAGACAAACACUUUAUGGACUAUGAGUUGCUUUGAGUUUUUCAUAUACCUUCUGGUUGCUGAAAGGUUUUAAAUGUAGAAUUUUAAGAGUAGUUUUGUAAUUUGUUGGAAUGAUUCAAGCACAUGCAAGAAGGUGUUUGGGAUUUCCUCCUUUAGUUACAUCUAUGUAUUCCACCAAAAUUUUAGCUGAAAGAUGUCAGUACAAAACGAAACACCCUCGGGUCUUCUGGUGGCAAAAGUGUUCAUCUCCUGGUUUCCAUGUAAUUUAAACACCUGUUGAAUCUGCAUCACAGCACUCUGUCUAUUUGGUGCAAAUGCUGCUUCUUCAAGAAAUCUUUGUUGUUAUGACGGCUUCACAGGUGACUCAAAGAUUUGUUUUUCCCUCCUCAUGAGGCAUGUUUUACAAAUUACUUUGGUGUUAUCCUCCUCUGAAACUCUAGCUGCAUUCACAUAGUGCAUUUUAUCGAGACUGUCAAAAAGCCCAGUGAAUAAAAUUGUUUGAUUUAUAAACCUUAUUCUGAAUGACCACACCAAGGGGUAAUAUCAGCCUUUUCAUAAACUGUUCAAAAUAAAUAGUUUUGGUAGAAAAACUCAACUUACUUCGUUGAAAUGUGCAGGUGUGUUACCAAGUAAAUAAUAUCAACUUUACUGAUUGGUUUUACUAAUUAAUAUUCUAUUAUCAAGUUAAUAAAUAAUAAUCAAAUAUUCUGUUUACUGAGUUGACAACCUGUCUGUCUGAAUCCACUGUGCAUCCUUUGUCCUAAGUAUUAGGCUACAUUCAUACUGCAGGUUAUGAUGCACAAUUUUGGAUUUUUUUGUUAAAUCCGAUUUUUUUUCUCUAGUCGUUCACAUUACAACAACGAAUGCGGCAUCUAAUGUGAACAGAAUGCGUCCGUGAAGUGACCUGCAUGCGCACAAAGCACAAAUUGCUUUCCGUGCCUAUUUGUGUCCCGAGUGUCUACACUGCAGUCACAUCAGAUACAUAUCCGAUUUAUAUCCACAUACAAAAGAGGCCUGUGUCGGAUCUGAAAAAAUCAGAAUUGCACUGUUCACACUAACAUGAAAAAAUCUGAUUUGUUUCACAUAUGGUCAAAAAAUCAGAAUUGACCUACAGUGUGAACAUAGCCUUAGAGGUCGAUAGAUAUAACUUUUCAGUGGCUGAUGCUGAUUCUCAUAAUACGAGAGCAGGUUUAAAUGUAAUAUGUAUUUAUAAUUAUCACAUAGUUUUGUUCUACAUUUGACAAUUGAGUAAAAAUUAACAAAUGAGAAACAGACUUACUAAACUUCGAUAAAUAUGAAAAACAAAUGGGUGGUAGGGGUAAAGCUCUGCAGUAAUUUGAUCCAUGUAUAAAACAGAUUUAUUCUUUCAUUUAAAUGACAGUGAAAAACGUCAGCAUGGCUCAUUUUUCUGCUUUCAUUUUUUGUAAUCUAUUUGUCUGCUUCAGUUUUUGGUCAUUUUUCUAAAUGUUUGUAUUUUGUAACCCUGUUUUAAGCAAGAAAUGUCAUUCAUGCAUGAUGCAAUGGUGCAUUCAUAUUAUUUCAUAUGAAAAUUAUUGGUAUAUUUCUAAACAGACUUAUUUUUUUCAAUCGGUUUUACCCCUGUAGGUGUCUUACCUAUUUGUAAUGGAAAUAUUUGAAUAAAAGUAAAAACAAAACAUUUUCCAUUCUAGUUUAUGGAUUUUUAAUGCAACAUAAUGUAUGUUGAUGGAUACAAUCUUAAGAAAAAGAUCAUUUCUACUUUAAAAUGUUUGUGCUUUCCCACUCUGCAAAAUGAUGCUAGCAUGGUGUCCUGGUUACAGCAGAUCUACGCUGGUUAAUGUGGCUUUGCAGGAUAAAAAAAGUGCCCCUCUUAGUGUAAUUAUACUGGAUUUGCAUUCAUAAUGGACUCCUCUCUACCAUCAGAACAGGUCGUACCUGUUUCAGCUCUCGAGCUGUUAAAGUUCAUCCUCUCUCAGCGGGGUGAAUCCAUCAGGACCGAGUGUGAGAAUCCCAACAAUGUGAGUGGUUGUUAAUGGGCUGUACUGGGAGGUGUGUAAGUGUGUGUGAGUGUGUGGGCGGUUAUUGUUGCUUUGAUAAGCUGUUGAUGACGCCAGCGGUGCGAGGUCUGCGUGCACAGUCAGAGUGAAAAACAACAGGACAGUAAGAGAAAAGAGGAGAGAAGUAUGAAAGAGGAGAAAUGAAGUAGAGAGAGAGAGAGACAUUUGUCGUCAUGUUUUACACACGGAGGAGGGAGGUGAAGGUGAUGUUUGGGAAGGUAGCGCCGCUGAUGUCAUCAGUACACCUCACCUCAAACAAACACUGUGACGGUCUGAUCUGCGUCACUGUGACAUGUUAUCUGAGUGACCUCUGCAGACGACUCGACCAUCAUUAGACCUGAACAUGUAAAACAACGAAAGGUUUAAACCUUCGAUAACAACAUACAGAUUUUACGUUAGCUUUGGUAGCUUUGGUAGCCCCUUACCUGUCUCUCUUUCUGAGCUGCUAGUUUUUCUCUACAUUAAAAAAAAAAGGUGUUAAAUUUUUAACACAAUUAAUUGCAACGACAUAAAUAGAAAUAUUUGGGACUUUAAUUUCUCUGCCGAAGCUUGCGAGAUUGAAGAAGUGUGUUUUUCUGUUUUUCCAGUCUGCAGAUUGAACCUCCGACCCCUCACACAUCACCUUUAAAAGCUCAGUCCUUACUCUGACUUUGUGUCACAUCCAUCAAAGUUUCUGAGUGAACGGAGAUCUGCAGCAGAUGAAACAGGAGCUGCUCCAGAAACCUUUCUCUGUCUGAUAUUUUACAGUUUCCUCUGAAUGUCAACUCCUUUCAGACCACAGAGUCUCAGUCAGGCUCUGCUUUUUUACUUGAAUGGAAUUAAACGCAAGGUUAGGAGAUUAAAAAACACAGAUCGGCUCUUGUGUUUCACUGACAGUGAUAAAACCAGACUCCGCUCAAGCUGAAAGGAUUCAUUUACUCAGAGUUGUACAGUCUCGGCUGAAUCCUGGUUCAUUUUUAAACUCCAGAUCCUCUCUAAAGUCGCUAUAGUGAAUGAGGAGUUUGUUAUUCAGUCAAGGUCAAGACUGAACCUACAGAGACUGAAUCGUUGAGAGACUGUGUGAGCUAAAAGUUCAACAGUUUCAGGAUAAAGUACCUGAAAGGAUAAGUGGAUUUCAUCAUCUUCAGAGAGUCUGGAGAAAUCUCUGUGCAAAAUAGACAAAGACCAAAACCAAUACUGGAUGGCCCUGAUCUUCAGGCAUUAGAAACAGACAGGACUUUAUAGUGGAAAUCACUGCAUGGGCUCUUCAUCACUUUCAAAAACCGUUGUCUGUGAACAGCUUUGUGUCCAAACUCUUAUUUUGGACAAUAAAAUUCUACGUAUAAAUGUUACGUGCAUUUAGACUGGUAGUCAGUCUGCCAAAACUAGAGGAAUAUUUGCUCAUCUUGUUCCACCACCAUCUUUCCUCCUGACGCAGAUGAAAAAAAGAAAGGCAUGGAGGUAAACAAACAUGACUGACCACAUCCGUGUUUAGAUCCAACAUGUUCAGAGACAACCGCUACCAGAGCUGAACAAGAACAUAUUUAAUACUUGAUGACGCAUCCUGAAUCAUGACAGUUGUGUAAAACCUUAAAUCCAAUCUGGUGACUCAACCCCCUCUUGAAAGACAAUCCAACAGAUCGAGGGGAGAGAGAGCAGUAAUCACACUGAGUCCGUCUCUGCUUUGGUUUCACCAUAUUACACCAGAAACUCAAACUGAUGGUGAGCGCGGCAAAUCCGAACACGUCUACACCUCAUAAUCUCUUACCAAACUCGCUGAGUCACUGUUUGCAGAGGAGGAUUUACCACAGAAUUUGGUGUGAAGGCGUCCCGAUGAUCUCUGACCUUUAAGCAGAUGUGGGAUGUCACGUAAUGCACGUGUACUUGGAUUUAGUCUUUAGAAAGUCUUUUAUUCAGGUCAAUACAGAAUUUCUGUUCACCAACUGUUGAUGAUUUUCACAUUGGGAUUAUUAUGGCCAAAAAUAUAAUAUUAUUGAGAUAAUUAUGACAUUUUUAGAAAGAAAAUGACACACUCUGUCAAAUCAAGAAAAAUACAAGCAACAGAUUUAUGUAAAUGUAAAUGUUCUUUAUUUUUACAUCCCUUUACAACAACCCUUUCAGUGAACCAAAGUGCUUUACAAUACAUAGAACAUUUAAAUGAAUUUAUAAAAAUAAUAAAAAGCAAUAAAAGCAAUAGAAAAAGAAUAAAAUACAAUGCAAUAAAAUGAAGUGUCACUGCGUUACAGGGUAUUAAAAGCCAGCAUAAAUAAGUACAUUAUCAAUCUGGAUUUGAAAAAGUCCAGUUCGGAAAUAAGUCUUAUUUCGUAGGGGAGCUUCUGAAAAGGCUCGGUCACCCCAGUGCUUGGUACCUCCAGCAGAAGUUGAUUCGACAACCUCAAAGCUCUAUCCGGCUACCGAGCAGUUAAAAGCUCAGUUAAAUAGAUGGGGGCGAGGCUGUUAAGAGCUUUAAAAACAAACAUUAAAAGUUUAAAAUCAAUCCUAAAAGAGACGGGAAGCCAACGAAGAGAGCUGAGGACAGGAGUGAUGUGCUCACGUUUGUUUGUUUUAGUUGGCAGCAGCAUUUUGGACGAGUUGAAGGCGACUAAGAGAUCAUUGGGAGAUGCCAACAUAAAGCGCAUUACAAUAGUCUAAUCUUGACCUGAUUAGAGCAUGUAUGGCUAUCUCAAGGUCAUGACGGCUUAAAAACAUUUUGACUUUGGCCAAGAGACGUAGUUGGAAGAAACUAGUCCUGACAACAUUGUCAAUUUGUUUGUCAAACUUCAGGUGUUAUGAAUAAACUUCACUAGUACCUUAUUUUUCACACUAUAAGGCGCACUUAAAUUCCUUUUGACUUGUCGGAGCACUGCAGCUACCGUAGUUUAUUAAGGUUUAUCUAGGUAUUGUCUUAGUAUGGAAACUCUGCUGUGAUAUAGUUCAAUUACAUGAUAUCAAAGACGGAUUCCAUGUUUUUUUUUAGUGUGUGCUUUUAAAUUUUGUUUCACUUUUUCCAACAUUGGUCUUCUUCAUGCCAAGAAAACCUGCGUGUUGUUUAACACUCAAAAUCCUCAAGGUAACUCUAUACUAGAAGAAAAAUCCAAUGCAACUCUUCUAAGGUAUUUGAUCAAGCAGACAAAGAUUUGCUUGUUUUAUCUUCAUAUCAAUCAUGUCAGUUUGGACUAACCCCUCCUACAUCUUUCACACACAGUCUCUGCUUCCUCUGCAGCCUGAAUGGAAUAAGUCACUCAUGCGUCCUGGUGACUAGGUCAACCUCAGCUCACUGUAACACCCUAAAAAUAGCCUCGUCUUUAUCGUUUUUUUCCUGCAGGUGACACACACACAGAGACAUACGACCACUUCAGGUGACCCUGAGGUAUUUCUGUAACGGUGAAGGGGUCAAAGGUGAAAGAUCGGCUGCAGAGUCUGGGUGUCUGCUCUCACGUCAGCCUCUAAGUUUAGCUGCACAUGCAGACAGAGACGGGGGUCGAGCACGAGAUCGGCGCUCCGGUCCGGCUGAGGCUGAUCAGCAGGAAAACCCUGACGAGGCAGAAAGAGCAGCAGCACGCUCCCCGCCGUGUCAGACUGAUGGACGGACAGGCGGCUGACCUCACGCCACCGCCGCAUGUGACAUGAGGAGCAGAGGGUGUCAGGGACGAGAAUGAGACCCCCAGGAUUUCACAAUGUGAGGAAGAUGAAGAAGAGCAGAGAUGGCAUGAUGGAAAUGAGGAGCACAUGACGGAGGGUGAAAGUGUCUCUGCUCCAUUUGUUUUCUGAGUGUACGUGUGCUGGUGAAUACUAAUCCUCAUUUACCUUUGUAAUGAGAUUAUAAACACCUGACUGCCAGCAUGUCCCACAUACUCUGCGUGUUUUUGCUGCAGUGAUCCUGAUAAUUUAUGAAAAUGAAUUCUUCACUCACUUAAAGAGGGCAUUUUUUUUGUUAGUUGCACAUCGGACUUAGAUCCAAUCUGGAUUGAUCCUGAACAGAGUUUUUUGGCUAUUUUAGUUUGGGAAAUAGUUUAAAUUUAUUUUUCUAACCAUUGAAAAAAAGGAAAAGAUCAGGUUCAUCUAAUCCUGAUCGAAGGACAAAAGGAGGGAGAGUAUCACCUGCCGAUAGUUUGACUGCAGAAUAAUAAUAAUAAUUACUGUCACUCCCAGGUAUAUUUGAGAGCAUACGAAGCAAUACUGAAGCCUCACAUUGAAAAGGAGAACACCAAUUCCUAAGAAGCAACAAAGAAAUUUGGAUAAUGAAGGUAAAGAUUCAGACUCAGUGUGCAAACCUGAUCGACAAAAUUAGAUUGUUUUUCUUCCCAAACCUGCAACAAUUUAGUCCAAACCUUUUGUGCAAAGGCUAUUACUCAUGGCUCUUUUCUUUUGUUUAUUUAAUUGUAUUUAUUACAUCCAACAUCUUCCAACAUGUCCAUGCUUGUUUGUGCAACUCCACAUCCGUAUUUACAAAAUCCACUUUAGCAAUUGAGCUUUUUAUUUUGUGAAUCGCAUUUUAUCGACAGAGAGAAGGACGAAAUUUCAAAAACUGCUUCAUUUGCUGCAAACAUUCCUCGCUACAGACCUUCUAUGCUGUGUUCAAAUGAAUCACUUGUUUAAUUGCAAGUAUUUGAACAUUUGCAUGUUUUGUUCUUGCUUUAUUUGCACAAAUAACUGGCUCCAGUUUUAUGCCAUAUCUUAUCUAUGCCAGUUAAAAAUGUAAAGAGAGGAGAUGUUUCCUUCAGUCUGUUUUCAUCAAACAAGGUUGAGGUGGACAACAGAUAAUCCAACCUCCACACUCACUUUCCUCAAAAAUAAAGUUUCUUUUUAUUCCCGUCUGCUAAAGGAAUAAGUUGUGUCAUAGAGUCGAAGGCAGCUGCAUGCCGUCAGUAUCAGUUUGUUCCCCGUUUUCCAGAUAAAUAAACCUCCACUGGUCUGUUGUUGACAAACCUAAUCAGAGGAUCUCCGUGCUGAUUGGCUAUCGCAGCAGGAGUUCAGAUUUCUCAACUCUCACGAAUAAGUAAAUGAAUCUGCAGUUGAAUGCAUCACAAAUUCACUUAGUUUGCACGUAACACGUUCAAUUCGCACCACCUGAUGAAGUUGCUUUGGCUUCUUCGUAUCAACCUCAACGUUGAGAACUUGAGUGGGAUUUAAUCUGCUUAAAUUAAAGGUUGCUUUUAUUUAUAUACAGAUAAGAACGGGUUUAAAUAUCUGUUGAAUUGUAUGUUUUGUCGUAAUAAAAUCCUUAUUUCUGUCUUUUAUGAAAAGUUCUGUACCUGUAUGAGAGGAUUUUUCAAAUUAAGUCAGUCCCUUUAGGUCUCACUUGGAGAGGGCACAAUGACUCUAUUCCAAAAUAUAACAGAUCACAAUUAAAUUUUCCAGUUUGAAUCCUAAAAGUCUUUUUGGCCGCGGCCGUCACUCUCAUGUUCCUCGGAGUGUCUUUCUUUUACCGACCGUUUGAAGCUUGAUGUGUAUCUGUUUCGUUUUUUUUUUCUGUCUGCAGACACGGGUGAGUCUGUGGGUUUCGUUCCUGCUGAGAGUGAAAGCUUCUGUCCCCCCUCGUCGCUCCCUCCUCACCCACCCCUCUCUUCACUCUCCCUUUUUCUGGCUCUGAAACGAGGAGUGAGUCCCUGUUUCAAGAGGUUUGGAAUUAGUUUGUCUCCUAGCAACAGCCGUACAAUACAACAUGGUUCUGUGAGAGACAGUGUGAGAGUGAUGUGUGUGUGAGGAGUGUGAGAACUGAUCUCCGUGUGUGUGUGUGUGUAUGUGUGUG